CCUUUUGAUUGCGACUCGGGUUGAACCGUCGUCGAUGUAGCCUUUGUACACGUUGCCGAAGCCUCCCAUGCCAACUACGAAGUGUUCGUCGAAGUUGUUGGUGGAGGCCCUGAUUUCCGCGAUUGAGAAGUGGCGGCAGAGGUUGGUUGGUAGUGAUGAUAAGCCACCACCCAGAGGAGUUUCGUCUUUUUCCUUGGAACCCAUCUUCUUCUUGCGUUUGAUGAGGAAGAAAGCGACAAUAAAGGAGAGCAAAACGGCAGCAGAAACUGCACCUGCCACGGCGGCGGCAAGGGUUCUUGUGGUACCGCUGCUUUUAUUGUUUGGUCUUUGAAGGGGAACCUUGGGCGUUUCUGGAAGACGGUCUGGGUCUGGGUUUGGCCCAGCAAGACUACCAGUUGAGUUGUUGAUUUUGAAUAGCUCAAUUGCGUUUAUUUGAGCGUCCUUGGCCAAGCUUUGAGGGUUAGGAUGCAUUUUCAGUGAAAGAUUAAGCGUUUCCUGCUGAUUCCCUGGGAUGAAAACUACAUACUGUUUAACCACUGGGACACCCUCCUGUUUAUCGCUCCAACUGAGAAUGUCUGCCCACUUUUCAACCAACUGAUCCUGAACGAAUAUGAAGAAGCUCUGGUAACCAGGAUUUUUCAUUUCCGGGUUAAGCUGGCAAAAGUGUAACCUUAGCAAGUAGGUGAAGCCUGAAUCAAUGGGAAGUUGCCAUGUGAGGUUGAACCCCAUGUUGAUGGUGCCAUUAUUUCCCAUAUUCCUUACGGAUCGGUACACUGUGUCUGGUGCCGUGUAGUUAGGAAUCUUUGUGAAUCUCAGCUUAAUUCCAGGGCCAAUAUCUAGAGAUAGUACACUUUGAGUCGUUACAUAUUUGCUAUCCACAUCCCAGCUCCUGAGCAUACCCGUGUCCUGUGAGGCCGGGAUUUCUUGGUCUCCAACUCUUAACCGGUACUUUGUCUCCAGAGUAAAGUUGUUUUCAAUGGGGAACAGGUUCGUAUUGACACCAACGAGGUGAGGCAAUCCAGUGAUGUCGACGUCGUGAGGAUUGGUGUAGUAGAGAAAAGGGGGCAUUGAAACAAUCUCUAUUCCAUUGAUGAAAGCGUACGAAUCUGGAUUCUGAGAUGUUUUGCUUGCAAUGAAGGUUAUGUUGAGCCGAUCACCAUCUUUGAGGUUGAUGCAAUACUCCCUGAACAAGUAGUCGCCAGGCUCGUUACCAGCGUCAGCAUGGAGGGAAGCGUUGAAAUUUUGAAGGAGGGUGUAUGGGCCUGCUUUGACUGAGAAAUAGGCUUUGGAGCGAUGGAAGUUUUGGUAGGAAGUUGAGUAGAAGAAGAGACGAAGAAACUUUGGGCCUGUGGAGACAGGGAAAGAGUAAGUGAAUUGGGAGUGAGACAAACGUGCAUCGGUGUAAGGACCCUCUAGGGUAGAUGGUGUGAGUGCAGGAGCAGCAACUGAGUCCUUGUUUUCUGAGAGGAAUUUGAUGUCUGCAGUCCAAUUGCGACCAUCGCGAGUGGACAAGUUACUGGAAGAUCCACAGUUGAUGCUGAAGAGUUCAACGGGACUAUAAAUAACAUCUGCUAUGGAAAGAUAAGGAAAGAACAGCAACAGAAGGAAGAGGAUGGUCCCUGAAGCAAUUUGGGUGCUAGUUGUGUCCAUGGAUAUAAGCUGUAAUCGAAGCAGCACACAGUUGCAAAACAGUGAGCUCAAAAUUAUCAAGAUUUCCUUUACUACUAGUGCAGGAUGGUUCGUGUCUUUUUUUUCUUUCGUUCUAAGCAAGCAUGGGAUUUCAAGUAUAUAUACGCUUGCCUUUGAUUUUUGUUUGUUUUAUGAACUGGCUGCCACAAGUCAAGCGACUGUGUGUGGAAAUUUCAGCCACGACAAAAAGAAUAAUAUAUGAUUUGUAGACAACGAUGUUAAUAGACAUUAAUUAAGAAAAAAGAAAGAGAGAGAGAAAAUAAUAAAGAGAUUUAAAAAAUGUCAAAUAGGAAAAACCUAUAUAUAUUGUUUAUGCAUUAUUUAAACAUAAAACAAUUAACAUUAUUGAAUAAAACAAUUAACAUUAUUGAAUAUGGUAGAUCGGUAUUUUAUUUAAUUACUUUUAUGUUGUUAUUUGUUUGUAAAUAUACAUUUCUAAAAGUUAUCUUAAAACCGAAAGAGAAUUUUUUAUUGUGUCAUUAGGAUAUAGAAGAAACUUCCAUUUUAUUUUAUCAUUUAGAUGACGAAAGCACGGUGUUAUUUUAUUAAGUUAUAGGAAAAAUGUGGAACAUCUCAUUUAAUGAUAUUAUUAUUUUCUAUAAAAAAAAUAUUCAUAUUAAAAAAGAAAUAUUUUUUUAUAUUAUUAUGUUUAAAUAAUGCAACAUAACCCUUUUUUUUCUAACAAGAAAGGCUUAGACUACAUAUCAAAGAAACGAGGAAAACUAACAGCUAUGAAGUCGUCCCACGUGGACCAUAUAAUUAAAUGCUCACUGUGACGUUUUAUUUAACUUAUCUUCUUUCUCUUUCUUCCGCUUUUGAAAAAUGCAACAAAAAGCCAAUUCUUAUUCAUGCACAUCGUGGCAAAAAGCCAAAAAUGCUUUACCUUUAUAUACAAAGUGAACCAGCCAAUAGAUAUAAUUUAUUAUCUUCACAUACCAACCAACAAAUUAUGUAAAAUUUGUAAAAUUUCUGGAAGGGCCAUGACCCUCUCACAGUAAGCUAAGUUCCGCCACCAACUAUUAUAUUGAUAAAUUUUGUCUUCAAAUUUUAAAAAUAUGUAAGUUUAGUUUUUUAUUCAAUAAUUUAUUAUUUUUUUAUAUUUAUUUAAAAGAUAUUAAAAUUUAACUAUUGGAUUUCUUGGACUAAAACUUAAUUUAUAUGAUUUUUAAUGAGUCAAACAACAUCAUAUUCCUAAAAAUAGAUUUUUACACAAUAGAAGGAGUUUACAUUGAUUUCUCAAACUCAUUACAUUAAGGUGUUAUAAGCCUAUUUAUAAACAAGCAAGAUUGGCAACAUCAUAUUCCUAAAAAUAGAUUUUUUUAAAUUUUAUACAAUAGUCUAGAAUACUAUAGUCUACUUAGGUCUUAAAUCUUUUAACUAUUGUUAAUAAUACUUUUAUACUUUUCUCGUAUAUUUAAUUUCUAGAAAAAUCAUGAGUUUCUAAGACUUUUGUCUUAUUUUUUCUAAAAAUUUGUAUCAUAUUUUAACACUUCUCCUUCAUACAAAUUUCAAUAACUCCAAAUUUGAUCCAUGAUAACUUGAACUUUGUUGUUGAUAGUUGUUAACUCAUUGGUAAGUAUAUCAAAUUUGUUACAAGUAAUAAAGUAUUCGGAAGUCCGAGUGUCGAAUCCACAUGGACUUUGUUUGUACUUAGAUUAAUGCAAACCCAAAUUAAAAGCAAUAGAUAAAGAAUUUAAAAUAAAGAUAAAAAAAUAUAGUAGAUAAGAUAAAGAUUUGAAAGAAAGGAUAAAAGAUUUAAAGAUAAAAAUAGAAUAUAGAGAAGAUAAAAUAUUUAAAAGAUAAGAUAAGGAAAAGUAAAAGAUAAAAAUAGAAGAUAAAAAUAAAAUAAAAUCAAAAUAUGUUGGGACCUGACCUGCCUUGUUUGCCUAGGAUGUACGAGUUCAUAAUUUUUCUUUGUCAAUUUAGGUGACUCUCUUCUAGCCACAUCUGUUACUUGCCCUUGAUUCCUCACAAUGACAAGCCUAUUUUAUUUAUCUAUCUUCCACAUUCCUUUGCAAAGACUCAACAAAUAAAAUGCAUGAAGUAUGAAUUCCAGAUGUUUGCAAGAAUGCAUGGGCAUAAAAUUAUCAUUCUAUUCCUAGCAAUGAUUUUCUUAUGAAAUCCUUUCUUUUUUUUCUAUUAGAAGUUACCCUCUUCCAAGUGUCUAACCCCUAAAACCAAUGCAUGCAUACCUUCUUUAAAUCUUAUUUAGAAGUUACCCUCUCCCGAGCAUCUAACCCCUAACAGAAUAUAAAGAUGAAUAAUGCAAGAUAAAAGCAGAAAAAAUAAUAGAAUAGAAAACACCUUUGCAUUGAUAAAUAGUGAGUACAUCAUACAUCGUCUACUUUUAGGCAUGCUAGGCCGUAACUAGGGGUUUAGUCACUCAUCGUCAUUGAGAGCUUUACAAUGGAUGAAGUAUAAAAACUGAUGGGAUAAGAGGGGUGAAAGAAAGGGAGUAAAUGAAAUCCCUGGGAGAGGGGGUUCUGUGGUGUUCUCCUCUACUUGACUUGACUCCAUUUUUAUAGUUAUUGUAGUGGACUUAGGCCUAAUGCUAAAAAUCUUCCUUUUUGAUAUUUUGAUAUCUUUUGGAUUUAUUUGGCUUGUAAUCAUAUCUUCUUGAGACUCGUUGAUAUUUUAGAUUUUUUUUCCAAUCUUUUACUCUUUUAAUCUCUCCUUUUCAUAUCUGCAAGCUAUAAAUAAGAAAAAUAUCAAAUCUUAAUAUUUAAGCCAAAGAUAACUGCUAAAUAAAUAUUUUAAAGAUAUUUUCAAUAUAUUUUUAUCAUCAAAAUAACUCAUAUUUAACAGUUAUCAAUAGUGUCUUCUUAAAUAUUCAUUCUUAUCCUGUAGUGCUCGAGCUCAAUGUGCUUUUGCGUAGUUUCUUUGAAGUUUCUUCAUAGUAUAUAGGCUCAAGUAAAGUAUAACUGUGUUGCAAGUUUCAUAUAUGUCCACCAAGAAUUUUAUUCAUUUUGGAGUAGACUCUCGAGAAGAAUCUUGUUGUAGAGGUGACGGAAGCAUACCUUCUUCUGUCACUUGUUAAACUUUUCUUGCUUCCCAAUUCCAAGAAGUACUUUCAUCAACAUCUUAACUAAUGACUAGUUUCUUUGUUUGUAAGUUAUAGACUCACUAGCCUUUUGAUUGUGUAUUAUAUCUGAAGAAGAUUUCUUCUUGUAGUCUUGUCUUGUAGCUCAUAUCUCUUAUGAGCUGGAACAUGUAUGUAGCAAAUAUAUCCAAAUGCUCUUAGAUGUUUAGCCGAUGGCCUUUGUUAAAAUAUUUUAUUAAAUAUAUUUAAAAAAUUAAAAUGUUGGAUGGAGCAUAAUAUAAUUGACUUGUUGGUCUAGUAGCGUUGAACAUGACCCUUAUUAUUAUUAUUUGUAAAUUAUCAUCUUAAACAUUAUAUUUUAUUUUAAAUUAUAAUUAAUAAUCAUUAUGAGUAUGUUAUUAUUUACAAAAUUCAAAUUGAAUUCUGUUUUAUUUUUAAUUACAUUGUGAAAUAAAAUUUUAUAGGAAUCAAAAUUAUUAAAAAAAAAGCUACAAAGACUAAAACGUAAACAAAAAAAAGUUUUUAAACAUCCAAAAUCAAUUAACAUCUUGAAAAAGAGAAAUAGAAGAAAGAAAUAUCAAUAUGAUAGAUGAUAGACAAUAAAAUGUAAUAGGAAGAGAGAAAUAGAAAAAUAAUUAAAGUUGUUAAUGAGGUGUUUGAUAUUUAAGAGUGUUAAAAUAUAAAAAAUCUUUCUUUAUUAAUAUGAAUAUUUUUUUAUAGAAAAUAAUAAUAUCAUUAAAUGAGAUGUUCCACAUUUUUCCUAUAACUUAAUAAAAUAACACCGUGCUUUCGUCAUCUAAAUGAUAAAAUAAAAUGGAAGUUUCUUCUAUAUCCUAAUGACACAAUAAAAAAUUCUCUUUCGGGUUUUAAGAUAACUUUUAGAAAUUUAUAUUUACAAACAAAUAACAACAUACAAGUAAUUAAAUAAAAUACCGAUCUACCAUAUUCAAUAAUGUUAAUUGUUUUAUUCAAUAAUGAAUUAUUGAAUAAAAAACUAAACUUACAUAUUUUUAAAAUUUGAAGACAAAAUUUAUCAAUAUAAUAGUUGGUGGCGGAACUUAGCUUACUGUGAGAGGGUCAUGGCCCUUCCAGAAAUUUUACAAAUUUUACAUAAUUUAUUGGUUGGUAUGUGAAGAUAAUAAAUUAUAUCUAUUGGCUGGUUCUCUUUGUAUAUAAAGGUAAAGCAUUUUUGGCUUUUUGCCACGAUGUGCAUGAAUAAGAAUUGGCUUUUUGUUGCAUUUUUCAAAAGCGGAAGAAAGAGAAAGAAGAUAAGUUAAAUAAAACGUCACAGUGAGCAUUUAAUUAUAUGGUCCACGUGGGACGACUUCAUAGCUGUUAGUUUUCCUCGUUUCUUUGAUAUGUAGUCUAAGCCUUUCUUGUUAGAAAAAAAAAGGUUAUGUUGCAUUAUGUAAACAUAAAACGAUUAACAUAUAUAUAUAUAUAUAUAUAUAUAUAUAUAUAUAUAUAUAUAUAUAUAUAUGUGUGUGUGUGUGUUUUUGAAAGCAUUUGAAAAAUCAAUCAAUAUAAUUAUCUUUUCAUGCUAUUUUUCUUUCAAUUUAGUUUUUCCUCUUUGUUAUUUUCAAAUUCAUUAACCCUUUAGUCUAGUAUAUCUCUAAAUUUCGUUAUAAUUCACUUUGGCGCUGCAUAAAGUGAUAAAUAUAAGUUAGAUGCAGCAGGAAUCAUAUUUGAUCUUUUACAUAUCACGAAUGCAUGCAAAUUAGCUCAUUAAUUUUUUUUUACAUUGGACAAAGAAUGACCGGGAAUACUUUGUCAUCCAUCCACAUCACAGUUAUGCUUCUACUCCCUUCAAACUCCUUCUAAAUAGUUGUUGAUGCUUCUCCUUCUAAAUAAUAAUUAAUUUGGUUAAAUACAUCUAAUUAAGUAAAUUAACUUCAUAGUUGUAAAAUUUUAGUUAAAUUUAAUUUUUCCAUUUCAAUUAAGUUUUCUACUAUUUUUCUUAAACAUUGCCUGUCUUUUAAUUAAAGUAUUUGUAACGAAGAAAAGAAUUCAUUUACAGUCUUCACCUAAAACUGCCCUCACAAAAGUAAAAGGAUGUAAUAUCCGUCUUACUGACAAUGGAUAUUUUUCUUAGACCAUUCAUUUUCACAAGAUAAAUGUUACAUAUUGCUCUUAAAUCCAUAAUUUUAUACUAAAAUGUUGUAGAGUGCAUGUCGGUUUCUACUUUCUAGCCAGCUAUUUUUCUAAUCAGGUGAUGAGUGAUCUCUGACCUUUAUUGCGUAAUUAAUUAAUAGCGACACGUAAAUGUUAUCGAAAUUCUAAUUAUGCAUUUCUGUGAAUCCCAAAUAUGUAGUUGAGAAGUCAGCCCAUUUUGUCCAAAGCUAUGAACAAGUCAUAACUAAAGUAAGAGUGUUGCUAAGUGCACCCAGCAAAAAUUUGAAAUGCCAAAAUUGCCUCUAUCAGCUUUCUUUCUUAAAAAUGGCAUUUCUUUUUCUGGAACAGUUUCUUACUCCAUUUUCAAAAAGCUUUCUUCUCGUUUUCCACUUUUUCCUGUGGCAUUGUCUCUGGUUCGUGGGGGUAGCAAGGUUGAGUGCAGCGGUAAAGGUGAAGUUUCCGGCGUGAAGCUUUGCGGUGGUCGGUGGCGACAAACAAGGUACGUAGAUGGCGUUUGUGCGUCGCGGACGUACGGAUGGCUUCCGGAUCAAGUUGAUCCGUAAGCUUUUUACGGAUCAACUUGAUCCGUAAGCUUGUUACGGAUCAACUUGAUUUGUAACUUCCGGAUCAAGUUGAUCCGUAACAUUCUUCCGGAUCAAGUUGAUCCAUAAGUUCCGAAUCAACUUGAUCCGUAAGUUCCGAAUCAACUUGAUCCGUAAGUGUAUUUUUUUUGUAUUUGUUGUUUUUGCAUCUGUUUUUGCAUUUUUGCAUCUGUUUUUCCAUUAAUUUUCCCUUUUUAUUUUAAAUUACUAAUUUUUUUGUAUGGUCAUUUUUUGUUUGAUUUGGUUAGAUGGAUGAAGAUGAGUGGAUGUAUGAAAUAAUGUCUGAACGAGCGAAUAUGAAUUAUGAAAAUGCAUAAUCAUGUGGUGCGAAUGAACCACAUGUUGAUUGUUCGGAAGCGUUCAAGACUUCUCAGGUUAUAAUGUUAAUGCUUGUCUCAUAUUUAAUAAAAUGAAUACUGGUAGAAAACUUAAAUUAUGUGGGUUUUGUAGGUGUUUGAGUGCCGAGAGGAUGUUUUGCGGUGGGCUCGAUCCUUGGCUCAUGAAAACGGAUUUGUGGUGGUGAUUUUAAGGUUGGACACAAACACAGGUAGUAGAAGAAGAAGUACAUUUAUGUUAAUUGGCUGUGAAAGGAGUGACGAGUAUAAGUGUAGGAAAAAAGAAUUUAUCAGAAGAGACACUGGGACUAGGAAAUGUGUGUGUCCCUUCAAGCUUCGUUGUAAGCCAGUGGCUGGAGGAGAAGGCUGGAUGGUGAAGUUGAUUUGUGGAGUGCAUAAUCAUGAAUUGGCCAAGUCAUUAGUUGAACAUCCAUAUGCGGGGCGAUUGACUAAAGCUGAAAAGACACUUAUUGCUGAUAUGACGAAGUCCAUGGUGAAGCCAAGAAACAUUCUGCUAACUCUGAAGGAACACAAUGCCAAUAGCUGUACGACUAUUAAACAGAUAUACAAUGCAAGAAGUGCAUUCCGUUCUUCCAUAAGAGGAAGCGAUCUUGAAAUGCAACAUCUGAUGAAGCUUCUUGAACGUGAUCAAUAUAUUUAUUGGCACAGAAUAAAGGAUGAAGACGUGGUUUGUGAUAUCUUUUGGUGUCACCUUGAUUCAGUGAAGUUAGUCAACGCAUGCAUUUUGGUGUUUUUGAUAGACAACACCUAUAAAACAAACCGGUAUAGACUCCCAUUGCUCGAUUUUGUUGGGAUGACACCGACUGGGAUGACAUUCUCUGCCGGUUUUGCAUAUGUGGAGGGUGAACGUAUUAAUAAUUUGGUAUGUGCUUUACAACGCUUCCGAGGCCUUUUUUUAAAGCGUGAUGCCCUCCCUGGAGUUAUUGUCACUGACAGAGACCAAACAUUGAUGAAUGCAGUGAAAGAUGUAUUCCCUGAAUGCACAAAUUUGUUGUGCAUCUUUCACAUAAACAAGAAUGUGAAGGCUAAAUGUAAAUCACUAAUUGCGCAAAAAAAUGCUUGGGAUUAUGUCAUGGAUUGCUGGGGAUCUCUGACUGAUUGUCCUUCAGAAUAGCAGUUUGAUGAAUACCUGAAGAAGUUCGAAGUAGCUUGCGCACCUUGGCCAAUAUUUGUUGACUAUGUCAAGGAAACAUGGAUAAUACCACACAAGGAAAAAUUUGUUUCCGCCUGAACUAAUAAGGUGAUGCACUUAGGAAACACAACAACAAACAGGUAUGAAACUGUUCAACUAUUUCUAUUAACGUUGAAAAAUUUAUGGAAUUGUAUUAUUGUAUAUGUUUAUUUUUAUUUGUGUAUUUGAAAUGUAGGGUUGAAUCUGCUCACUCGUCUUUAAAAAGACUGUUACAAAAUAGCAUUGGAGACUUAUGCAGUGUGUGGGAUGCCGUGAACAACAUGAUUACGUUGCAGCACACACAGAUUAAAGCAUCAUUUGAAACAAGUACACAUGUCGUUGGACAUGUGUUCCAAAAAACCUUAUACAGGAGGCUGCUUGGAAUGGUUUCAAGGUAUGCUUUAAAUCAGAUUGCUGUUGAAUUUGAGCGUGUUUACUAUGCUGGCAAGAAUCCCUCAAGUUGUGGUUGCGUGGUGAGAACCACGCUUGGUCUUCCUUGUGCUUGUGAGCUAUCCAAAUAUGUUGGUGGUUGCAUCCCACUUGAUUCAAUUCAUAUGUUUUGGAGGAGACUCAGUUUUUCAGACCAAGAGUUAUCUGAGCCCGAGGUGGGCAUCAAGGACGUAAUGGAAACAAUAUACCAAAAAUUCGAAGAACUUGAUGUUUGUGGCAAGUUUACUCUAAGAAGUAAACUUUGGGAAAUUGCACACCCUGAUCAGAAUUCGAUGUGUCCUCCUCCAGCAAAGGUUAACACAAAGGGGGCACCGAAGAAAACUACGAGUAGGAACCCAAGGUCAACAAAGCGCGAUCCAUCUUACUGGGAGUAUGUAGAUGCCUUUGAAUCACAACAAAAUAGCAAUUCGUCCGUGAGACGUACUGCAUCAUCCUCUGAGCAACCGAUUCGAAGAAUGAUGAUGCCCAUGUUGGACCAGUUUCAGCCAUUUAUGCACGACUUCAUUGAUAAGAUUGUUGAUGUCAAAGGUGAUGGUAAUUGUGGAUAUCGGCUGGUUGCCGGUUUAUUAGGUAUGGGUCAAGACUCUUGGUCGGUGGUCCGCAACCAUCUGCUUAAAGAACUUGCCAAUUUCUCAGAAGACUAUGUCAAGCUCUUUGGUGGCACGGAGAGAUUUGAGGAAUUAAGGAUGUCACUACUUGUUGAUGGGUUAACCAAGGUAUGUAAUUUAUGAAUUUGAUUUUUAAGACUUUAGUUUGAAAUUAAGUUUGACGUGUAUAUUUGUUAUAUUCAGGUGACAACGGAUAAGUGGAUGAAUAUAACGGACAUGGGACAUGUCAUUGCAUCAAGGUAUAACGUAAUCGUUGUAUCCUUGUCUAAACAACAAAGCAUGACAUUCUUUCCCCUUAGAAGUCAACUGCUGAUAAAUUCUUCAUUGCAUCGUAUAAUUUGUAUCGGUCAUGUGUAUGACAAUCAUUUUGUUGAGGUACAUUGUAGAUAUGAAGUGUUUUUUUUUUUUUUAUGAUUAUGCAAUGACUUUUGUAGGAUUGAGUUAACAUUUUUUUCGCAUACACAACAGGUUUAUUUAAAAGAACGUUGUCCCUUAGCACAUGUAUCAUUGUUAUGGUCUAGGAAUUGUCAUCCGCAAACGAAGUCAUGACCAAAUUCAUAUAUUAGCAGAAUGCAGCAUUACAAGAACUUCAUGAUGUUCAAGAGAGACUAUGUUGACUUAAAUGAUGAUUGAACAUGUAAUUUAUAAAUGCCUGAUCGUUUUGAACAUGUAAUUUAUUUGUUACGUCCACAACAAAAUUAUUACUUAAUUCUAAAAAAACAUGUAUGAUAUAUCGUUGUCUGACUUGACUACACAUUGUGAAAAAUCGUGUUUGAUAAAUUGUUGUCUGCAUUAACAUAAAGCACGUGAAAGGACCCUGCACAACAUGACUACACAUGCAGAUCUGAUGCAAGCUAAAGCAUGUCAUGUCAUUCAUGUAGUUGACAACACAUACAGAAAGCAUGUGCAUGCAUAUUUUCAAUCUUUAAAAAAUGCAGCACUAAUAUUAAAACUCAUCUAUAUAUAUGGCACAACCUAACCUUGUAAGAAAGCACAAGUUUCAGUAUCAACCCAAGUCUUACAAAAAACUAUGGCAUUCUUGGGAGAGACAAACAGUCAGACAGUUGUGAACUCCACAUUAGGUUUUAUUUUUCCAAAUGGAUCCAUUGUUCACAAUGACAGUGGUGUUUCCUUCCAAGCUUCCACUCCAGUUCCCAUUCGAGUACCUAACGGGUGUGAUUUUCAAACGUUAAAAACCAGAAUACACAAUACCCUUAAGCUAAUCGACAAGCAAUUUUUGGAUGAAAUUUACUAUCGGCAGCCUUUCACGUAUGCAGGUAAUCAAUUUCGGUUUCAAUGUAUGCAACUGAAAGAUGAUGCUGAUGUUAACACAAUGUUAAUGUGUAAUCAUGAAUUUUCGUUUGUUGGUCCGAUUGAGUUAUUAUGUAGCAUUGCUAGAACCCCAGAUGGUAUUUUAAACUUACUUGAAACUACUAUGACCCCUACUCAUGAUGCUCUGCUAUAUUACAAUGGUAGGUGGAACAUGUCACGCCAAAAUGAGUUUGUAGGUUACUCGUUCACAGGAAAAAAUCUCAAAAACUUUGACAUUUCCACCGGAUGUACCAUGGAUGAACUAAAGGAUUUAAUCAAACAAGUUGCGCCUCGUGGGAUUCCCCCUUAUGGUGUUGAUGAAACACAAAUGGUAACACAAUUGUUUUUUCGGAAACCAAGUCACCAUGAGUAUUCAGAAAAAGUUAUAAAAUUUGAAAUAAUUGAACUCAAAACCAACGAGGACGUGAUGAAGGUGCUCAUUGAGUCUAACUACUGGAAAAAGAUUGAGCCAAUAGAAAUUUUAGCUGUUUUCAGUAAACCUUUACCGCAAAUGGAAGACGAGUUGUCCUUGUCGCAAAAUUAGCAUGAGUUAGUUAGUUGUAGUAUUUUAUGGAAAUUUAAUUUCGUUUGACUAUGUUGAAGUUAAUGUACUGUUUGAAUUCAUGUAUUGCAUAAUCGUUUUCAAUUACAAGAAUCUCAACUAAAAAAAUAGAUUUUUAUAUAUAACAAACUAAUUAAUAAAUUGUUUUUCUUCUUACGGAUCAACUUGAUCCGUAAGUGUCUUACGGAUCAACGUACGGAUCACCUUGAUCCGUAAGAAGAAAAACAAGUAGGGACAAUUUUGCCAUUUAAGAGCUUUGUUGGGUGCACCUAGCAACACUCCCAAAGUAACCUAACGUCGCGGAAACUUCAAAAUGAUCAUGGGCCAGCCCAGUUUUUAAAAGCUUACGGCCUACUUAGAAAUAUAUAGAAAGGCAAACAAAUUAUAUCAAUAAGCAAUUAUAGUUUUAUGAAGCCAUAUAAAUUUGAAAAUAAUUACCAGAAUGAAUAUAUUGUUUCUUUUUUCUACAUGUUGAGGGAAAAAAUAGGUGUGUUUGAUCUUAAUCUAUUUGCUAAUUGCUUCUUUUUUCCGUAUAGAAUAAUUCUCUUCCAUUCAACAAAUAUGCAUUUUUGACAACGCACAACGCUUAUGCCAUUGAUGGGGAGCCAUCUCACACAGGCGUGCCACGAGUAACUUUUACCAAUCAGGAAGACAGUGUCACCCAACAGCUAAAUGUAUGCUAUAUCAGUACUAUUAGUCUAUUAAUUAUAGCUUAAAAUAUCAAUGCUUGGGUUCUCAUAAACAAUGUUUAAGUCACCCUUGUGUCUCAACAAUGGUUAUUUUGUAGAAUGGAGUACGUGGACUAAUGCUAGAUACAUAUGAUUUUGACGGAGAUGUGUGGUUAUGCCAUUCAUUUGAAGGCCAAUGCCAUGACUUCACAGCUUUUGUAUGUAACAUCAUCCACUCAAUUAUAUAUGUUUGUUUUUGGUGUAUGCUUUCUGAACUUUUUUUUGGAGUAAAAGAUGUGAAAAAUCAUUAAUGGAUCACUUGUACUAGAUUCUAACUUGUGAUUAACAAGUAGGAACCUGCCCUAGACACAUUGAAGGAAAUUGAAGCUUUUCUAUCAGCAAAUCCAACAGAAAUUGUCACACUCAUCUUGGAAGAUUAUGUUGAUGCACCAAAUGGUUUGACAAAGGUCUUCACUGAUGCCGGUCUGAUGAAGUAUUGGUUUCCAUUACCAAGCAUGCCAAGAAAUGGUCAAGAUUGGCCUCUAGUGAGUGAUAUGGUUGCCAAAAACCAAAGAUUACUAGUGUUCACUUCUAUUGCGUCUAAGGAACAAAGUGAAGGCAUUGCUUACCAGUGGAAUUUCAUGGUUGAAAAUCAGUGUAAGAGGAUACCAUCUAUUAAACCUAUUUCAUUCUUAAGAAUUAAUUUAUUUUUGUUUCCUCUUGUCAACUUACUCUUUGAUCAGGUUCUUAUCUUUAAUUUUAUAGAUGGAGAUGGUGGUAGAAAAGCAGGAAGUUGUCCAAAUAGGGCAGAAUCAUCUCCCCUUAACGACAAAAGCAAAUCCUUGGUGUUGGUAAACUAUUUUCGAUCAACUCCAAUUAAACCAAUCACAUGUGAAGAUAACUCAGGAGAACUAAUUAACAUGCUACAAACUUGUUUUGGUGCUGCUGGCAACCGGUGGGCCAAUUUUGUUGCUGUUGAUUAUUAUAAGGUAGUAUUUUAGGAAAAUUUUAUUCCAAAUUUUGUUGCCAAAGCAACAAAUUUUGACCCUUAAUAUCUUUAUAUUCUUAUAAUAUGGGGGGUUGUUAUGCAGAGGAGUGAGGGAGGAGGAUCGUUUCAAGCAGUAGACACUCUCAAUGGAAAGCUACUAUGUGGAUGUGAUGAUGUUCAUACAUGCGUGGUAUAGCAAUUUUAACUUCUUUUCUAGAACGCAUAAACCCACUUACACAAUUAAGUUAGUGUAUAAUUCUACUAACACUGUUGGUUUUAAUGUUUCAGCCUGGAUCAACAUCAGAAGCUUGCUCUCAAUCAUAGGAAAAAUCAUAGUAACAAGACCGACCAUCUGGAAAUAAUUCAGGCAUUAGAUUGUUGUCAAUUUUCAGUUGUUAAAACCAUUGUUGCUUGUCAUGAUCUCGUUGGUAAGGAUUUCUAAUCCAAGGCAGCAUUAAUUAGAACAUCCAUUACAUUGACGAAAUGACCUUGGUAUUAAAUUCAAGAGCAGUGCUAUUUCGUAUGAAAAAGUAUUUAUUUUAUUGGUUAUUUGUGAUUAAAAAAAUAUUACUAGUAAUUUGACAGAAAUCACGGAUAAACUUCGUGCAGACUUUCUUGUCUUAUACAAAUAGCAAUUUCCUAAAUUCAAAGGCCCAUUACAUAGUCACACAUCAAUAAAAUAAAAUUAUUAAAGUGGCAAGUUAAAAAUCGCUGUUAUACUAAAAACCAUUACUAUUUUUGAACUAGCAAAGAAGAAAAUAUUGACUCAAAUUUAAAAGUUAACUAAAAUAUUUUUUUUAUAAAAAUAAUGGACUAAAACAAAUUUUAACAAAUAAGAAAAAUGAUCAAAAGUAUAUUUUAACCGAAAUAUUUUCAUUUUACUUAAAAAAACUUAAGUUCUCAUCAUUACAUAAUAGUAAUGAUUCUCUAAAUUUGAUAUCCAAACAAAACCGAUUAAUAUACGAUAUAAUUUAAAUCCUCUCAAAAUUUGAAUUCCUUCCUUUCUAAAGAUAAUUAAAAAAAUUGACAGAAAAUUUAUUUACACUAAAACAUGAUAGUUUAUGGCAUGUUCACUGAUUGUUAAGCUCCUUUUCAUCAAUACAUUUUUUGUUUUUAAACGUUAUAUAUUUUAAACAUCUAAUAUAUAAGCUAGGAUCUUUUUUUUUUUAUUAUUUUAAAAGCUAACAAGCUAGAAACUUUUGAUAACUCACUACAUGGCAUCUAAAAUAAAAUAUUAAUCAAUUAAAAGCUUUAUUAAAUUCAUGCAAAAAAAAUUUAAACUUAUAUUCUACAGGUAAAAUGUCAACAUCAGGACCAAACGGAGUUGUAUGUUAAAGUCCAUGCAAGCAAGUUUGUUUUGCAUUUCAAAUAACAAAUGGUCAUGAUCUAACAAAUUCAAAUUAAAAGUUUUUUUCCCAACGAAAGACUUUAAGACGCCUUUCAUGGACAUAAUUUUAUUUUAUAUAAAUACAUUUUUUGGCCUAUUACGCAUAAUCAUCUUGUAGAGCUCAAGACCUACCAAAAAAGCAGUAGAGGUCAAGACAAAACUCAUUGUUGAGAUUUACAUGUGCACAUACAAGUUUUUGAAUUCACAUGUGUUUGGUUCCUUUCCGGAAAAAUAAAAAAUAUGCGCGAUAAGAAGUAGGCGGAUAGAAUAUAGCUAGCCUAGUUCAAUAAUAAACGACCAGGCACCUUCAUCUUAUUAUUUUUAUUUUGAUUUAAGCAAUAUGUCUAUAACAUUAAUUAAUUAAAAGAUUAUAAGUUAAUCAAUAUAUAACUUUAUUAAUAAAAUAUUAUUAACGUACUCGACUAUAAUUUCUAGUUAAUACAUUUCUAAUUUUUUUAUAUAAAAUAUUUUCUCAUGGAGAUGUAUCUUAAGCUUGAGUCUUGACUCUCUCUUUCUAUUCGUAGACGACCCUAGCUGGUAUGCAAAUUGACAAGAUCUAUCUUUAAAUCACUAUAUUAUAACACCGAGAUUAAUUAAUUAAAAGAUUAAAAGUUAAUUAAUAACUUUAUUAAGAAAAUAUUAUUAAUGUACUCCACUAUAAUUUCUAGUUAAUACAUUUCCAACAUUUUUUAUAUAAAAUAUUUUCUUAUGGAGAUGUGCCUUGAGUCUUGACUCUCUUUCUAUUCGUAGACGACCCUAGCUGGUAUGCAAAUUGACAAGAACUAUCUUUAAAUCACUAUAUUAUAACACCGAGAUAAAUUUCUCUUUCAAUUGCUAUAAGUUAUAUUCUCGAUCUCCUUUGUGUUUUCACAAUCUGUCAAUUGAACACAUUGCUUAAUUAGUUGAGUGCUUAAUUACUUUGUUGGUGGUCACCUACCACUCAUUGGAUGACCAUGGUCCAUGGAGCUCCACUGUUAUCAAACAAUUGAAGCUCCACUUUUAAUAAAAUUAUAUAUUUAGCCUCUUGUAACAUUUCAGUAUUUAUUUUAUUCAAGUUUAUCCUUUAAUAUUAAAUUAUUUAUUUUAAUUAUUAUAUUACUUAAGCUUCUAAUUUGUAAUAUAACUUCUAACAAAAUAACAAGUUUUCAAAAUGAACUAAAAACCCAAAAUUUAUUCACUUUAAAACAAUGUUUUCUAAAAAAAGUCAAAGAUAUAUUAACAAUAAUAUAAAUAUGUUAUUAUAUGUAUAUUAUAUUUACUAGCCAGUUAAUAAUUAAUUUUAUUAAAUUGAUCUAAUUCAGUAAAUUAACUUAAUAAUUUUGAAAUUUUAAUUUAAAACUAAUUUUUCAAUUUUUAAUUAACUUUCAACUUUUAACUAACUCAACAAUUAUUUUCCUUAAACAUAGCCUAUCUAUUAAUUAAUUUACAUGAACCUAACAAUUUGUCUUCACCUAAUACUUCCUUUACCAAAUUAAGAGGAUUAGAUGUUUGUUUCUGUCUUACUAAGGACUAUUAUGGUAAUACAGUCUUUUAACCCAUUUUUUCUAACAUUUACUGUUAAUGAAAAUUUAUUUAAAAUUUUAAAUCAAAAGAGACACUAAUUAAAAGUAAAAAUAUUAAAAAUGUUAAUUUUUAAUAAAUUUCAUUAGUUAAUAACAGAAAGUAUGUUAAAAAAAAUGUACAGAUGUUAUAGUGCAUGUUUUCCAAACAUUUUUUAUAAAAGGAUAUUCUUAUCAAACCAUUCACUUUCACAAGAUAAACACUAGAGAUUGUUUUUAAAUCUGUCCUACUUCGAACUUAAAUAUAAACAGUUAAAAAAUAGACUCAAAUAUAUAAGUAAUUUUAAUUAUUUUCAUCUGAUUUAAUUAUAUCAUUCCAAUCAAUUGUAAUUUUAGUUUUAAUGACUCUGUUAUAUUUGAUAUGAAGAUCUAACAAAUGACACAUUUUAGAAAGAACAAAAAAGUUUAUCUCUUAAACAAGAUUAAUAAAAUCAAAUAACAUUAACCAACUUGCUCACUUAAUGCAAAUGCAAAUGCAAAUGCAAAGUUAGUUAAUUUUGCUUAAUCAUAUUUAAGUCGGGUGGGAGAAAGUUUUACUAGAAUCGUGUAGAAUGUAUGCUGGUUUCUAUAGUCAGGUGAGAGAUCUCUAACCGUUAUUCCAUAAUUAAUAAAUAUAGCAACACUAAAUUUUAUCAAAACUCUAACUGAGCAUUAAUUUCUCUGACUAGUGUUAUAAAUUUAAUAAAUAAAUAAAAUAAUUAAGCAUAUUUCUCUCUAAAUGGUGGUUAAGCAGGAGCCAUUUAGAAAAUAAGUUCGAUCUAGCCCUUUUUAUUUCUUCCCUUACUUAUUCGUCAUGAGAUUGAGGCGUAGAAGUUAGAAUCCAAUAAGCCAUCAGUAAAUAGAAAGCAGAAAAGCAUACAUGCAUAUACAUGUUCAGAAUCUCUUCCCCGGAAUUUGUCCAGUUCAGGGGACGGAUGUUAUUGUUGCAAUAAAGAAAACAUGCACAACAAUAGAGACAUAGGACAACAACAGUGGAUAGAGGGAGGGAGGAAGCAAAAGCAUUAGAAAUAAUACAUAAAUAGCUUGUUUUAAUAGCAACCCCUGUGGUAGGCAUAUGGAUCAGCACAUGCGCUGGGUAUAACCGAAUCAGGUUUGGCCCCAUUACUAACAUAAUGACCGCUGGGACCCGAACAGGCGGCGGCAUUACCGGGAUUACUUGUACCUCCAGUCGGAGAGGGGCAUGAUCCUUCAGCGAGGAUUCUGCGGAAGUGGGAGCUGGAGAUGGUGGGAAGCUGUGAGUCCAAGUGGUGGACGAUGAGGCAGUUCUCUACGGAGCCAUCGCACACUAGAGAAGUUGUGGUGUGGUUGGACUUGGACAACACUCCUGAAAUGCUCAAAUGUACCAUAACCCACAUCAGGAAACGCCUUGAUGCUAAUUGCUUCUUCAUGUCUGCUAGCUAGAAAGUCUUGAGAGAUUCUAUUUUCAUAAAUUCCACACUGUAUAAUAUCCACCCUUCAUAUUGAUAUAUGGACUACCAAGGUUCCGCUACAUUCGAGUGCGAGUUAAUUAAGCAAAUUAUUAUUUGUGAAAUGAUAAUCAUUGUCCGAACAUUGAUUAAAGAAUUAAGAAGAUUUUUUUUAUUAAGUACAGAUGUUUCAUAAGUGUAAAAAUGAGAUAAUAAAUUUAUAAUUCUCUAAUAAUAAGUACAGAUGUUUCAAUGAAUUAUUAUUUACUGAAUGAUUAAUUUAAUCCAUAGUAUGAUGGAUCUUAUUAUACACAAUUAUUUCAUUCGAAAUAUUCAUUAUCUAUGUAUGAUAAUGUUGAGGUAUUGAUAAGUGUACCUCGAAAGUUUGAGUAUCGUUUCCACAGGAAUUUAUUGUACUUUAUCGAAUACUUUUCAAUUUGUAAGUAAAGAACAAAUAGUAAAAACAGAAAUAGUUGCAAAAGUAAAUUGCUAUUACUAGAUCAAAUAGUUUUAGAAAGAUAAUUAAUAGAAAUGUCAAAACCGGACAAACCCAAUUGGCCUACGAUGCAUGUAAAUAUGAUAUUCAUUACCAAUGCAAUUGUAUUAGUUCUACCCACAUCUAUUAACUUUACUUGUCCCUAAUGCCUCACGAUGACAAGCCUAUUUUAACUACCUAUCUUCCAAAUGUCUUUGCGAAGAUUCAAUAAUUAAAAUGCAUUUAGGUUACAUUCUAGAUGUUGCUAAAUGCGUGGACAUUGAGUUAUCAUUCUAUGCCUAGCAAUGCUAACCCGAUGAUUCUUUUCUUAAGAUGUUCUAUUAGGUGUUACCCUUUCCAAAGCGUAUAACCCCUAAAACUGAUGCAUGCAUUAAUUCUUAAACCCUUAUUAGGAAAUACCUUCUCCCGAGCGAAUAAAACCCAAAAGAAAUUCAAGAAAUGAAUGCAAGAUUAAAAGAAAAGAAUUAGAAUAGAAAAACCUGGAAUGAAUCCUCUUUGCAUUGAUAACUCUUGAAGUAUAUCAUACAUCGUUGAUUUUUUAGGCCUAGAUGUGUUGUUCUAAGGCGAGAUGUGUUGUUUUUCUUGAACUGACUCUCUAUUUAUAGCUGCUGAAGUGACUCUCUAUUUAUAGCUGCUGAAGUGGACUUUCGGCCUUCGUAAGCGCGCUUAGCGCAACACCUCGCGCUUAGCGCGCGCUGCAGGCUUAACGUGUGUUUCUGUUGGAUCUCGCGCUUAGCGUGCGUGACGGAUUCUGCAUCUUCGAGCUUAACGCCUCGCUUAGCGCAUGUACUGCCUUGCAUGCUUAGCAUGCGUGUUGGGCUGGGCCUGCUUCAGACUUCUUCUUUUUCUUCACUUUUUGUUGCCUUUUUUGCUUAAUGUAACUCCAAUUUUCAUACCUGCAACCAAAAAUUCAAUUUAAUUAAUUUUUCAACUUUUAAUCACAAAUAACUGUUAAAUAAUUAAUUUCAGGCCAAAAUUUGAAAAAUUAUUUACUAUUAAUUCAUAAUUACUUAGCCAUUAUCAAAUAACUAUGAUAUCUUUAAUUGUUAAUUUACUACUGAUGAUUCAUAUAUAUAUCAUUGAAGUCACCAGGUAGCUUCUAAGUCUUUUUAAGACAUUUAGCGUGAAAGAAAGUAAAAGCAUGCAAAAGUGCAUAACAAAGCCAAACCAAGCACAGUAAAUCUUGUUGACUAUAUUGAAAAAUGUUUUAUGAAGAUAGUUUGUUUGUUUUGUGGAUUAAAAGUUUGUAAUCGAAAAUGUAAACAAUGUGAUAUUAGAAAUGGUAAAUUGGUAAUGGUUAAGAUUUGGGUAGGAUGCUAUAUUCCUAUACCUAUAGUAUCUGCUUUCAUAUUGCCAUUUAAAAAUAAUUGUUGUAUUCGGUUUCAUACAUCCGGAUAGCAUUUUUAAUUUUUACUCUCAUAUUCAUUUGUAUCUAUAUACUUAUACUUAACACACUCAAUUAAUUAAAAUAAUUACUAUAAUCAUAAUACUUUCAUUCUAAAAUAAUUUAAAUAUAAUAUUAAAAACAUACACAUUUAAUAUAAAAAAUAAACAAAUAUUAACAAUUAUAACAUUGAUUCAUCCAAAUUCAAACCAUAAAUAAAUAAAAUUAAAAAAAUAAUUAUUUAACAUAAAGAUUAUUAAAGUUAAUAUUACAAUCUUUGAUAAAAACUUUAAUUUAAUAUUUUUCAUUCUCUGAUAAUGAUAGUGAUAUUGUUAGAGAUUAAAGAUUUGAAAUAUUAGUCAUAAAAAAUAAUUAUUUUUCACAAUAAAUUAUGUGUGUGUGGGUUGGAUAUUAUAUAUUCAUCUUGUAUCCAAACUCAAUAUUACCCGUAAUUAUUCCUUCUGCUUAUGAAUAUUUUUGUGACACUCAUAGGAUCUAGAUAUACUCUGUCAUUAAUAUUCUUAUAUAUGUUAAAAGUUUUUAAAAUUUAUUGAUAAGCAUUGUUAAUUUCUUGCAAUAUUGUAGAUUCCUUAUUUAUUAUGUUUUCCUAUACUUUUAUUUUCAUGAAGAUGAUGAGAAUGUGAUAUUCUCAUGACAACAUGAGAAGUUAUUCCUAAUAUGUAAACAUGUAACUUUCAUUUUUAUUUUUUAUUUAAAUUAUUUUAAAGUUUAAAAAAUAAUUCUAAAAAAUUAAAAUGUAAUCAAAUACAUUUUUAAAUAUACCCAAAAAUAAAAUUUUUAGAAAUAUGAUUAAUGGAAAUAACAAUUUACUCUGUAAAACAAAUUCCUUAGAGAGAAAGAAAGAAGAAAAAAAAUGUAAGUAUAAUAAAUAAAAUGAUAUAAGAAAAAAGAUAUUGAUGAAAUAUGUAACGUACAUGUAUACAUUUCAAUUUCAUCACUUUUUUUUAUUAGAUACUACGCAUCAGUCUUUUUUUUAUUAUUAUUUAACCUAAAUUAUUGGGAUGCUUGUUUCAGUUUAAUAUAUUUAAAAUUUUGUCGCUGUGUGUCGGCCAAAGUUUGUUUCGUUGACUAAUCACACGCAAAACGUAAAACAAUCAGGCUUGCAUGGACUGUUAACAAAAACGCAAUUUUGUUCCUGAUGUUAACAUUUUAAUUGUAGAUUAGUUUAACAAUUUUUUUGCAUGCAUUUAAAUAAAUUAUUAAUGAAUUUUAUUAUAGGUGCAAUAAUGCAUCGAGUUAUUAAAACUCCCUAGUUUUUAUAUUAGUAAAUGUUUAAAAUAUGUCACGUACUGUAACAACCAAACAAUUAUUCAAGAAAGAGGUACAAAAUCACUAAAUAUUUCUUAAACUUUUUAUAUGAAUUUUAAAAUCAUAUAUUAAAAUGUCUUAUUUUUAGCAAUUAAACUUAAAGAAUUUUAAAAAUAAUGAAAAUUUUACAAAGAAUUAAUAUUUAAUGUAAAACCAAAGGAUUCUAAGAAACAUUUGAUAUGGAAGAAUCUUAUUUUAUUUUUUUCUCUUUUGCACGUUCUUUAUGAACUCUCUCAGAUUCUCACUACAAAUACAAAACUUUCUCCUGUGCUCCUCCGUUUUAUCAUAGCCACUCUUCUUCUCGUUAUGAUCUCGUUAGUCACUCUCUUUAUGGCUUAUCAUAGUCUUUCUCUACAAUCCUAUAAACCUCUUAAAUCCAGUAAACUUUUCGCCCAGAAAUAUAUUUUUUCACAAUUAUGUUUUGUAAGAAAAGAAAAUUGAAAAAUAGUUUAGUAAUGGUUUGUCAUCUCUCGAUCAACUCUUCUUUCUAGUAUUAUACAAUUCUUUAUGAUAAUUUGUUCCAGUAAAGGAAAAUUCUUAAGAGAGAACUCAAACUUGUUUGAUUUUAAUUGCAAAAUAUAUAGAUAAGUUGAUAAUAUUUAAAGGUAUUAGAGAACUCUAAUUUUUGUCUUCUUACAAUCUUCCUAAUCAAUACAAAUUUCUAAAUAUUUUCUACUUUUCAAAAUUAUAGAACUUCUAGAUUUUUACUCAUCACAUUCACAUUCAUCAAAUAUCAAAUUACAUACAAGCUGCAAAAAAAAAAAAAACAAAAACAAAUUACAUGCUUCAAACAAUCCAAACACUUUUAACCUAAAAGAUCAAACAGGAUCUGAACUUGUAGACUGCUCUAACUUCAUCGUCCCUUUGGAUCCUUAAUCUCAGAGAAAACAUUGUCCGGGAUCGACCUCUCCUCAGAGUCCUUACUUCCAUAGCUACAAUCUCCAACGUUUGUAGCCAUACUCAAUGCAGUGCUCUUACUAUAAUCCGAAAAAUGUAGACUACUAUGGCUACUGCUAAAUACGUCCUCGGUAUCUUCACUCUCCAUCACUUCAUUAACAGCACCCUCCUGAAGAUGCAGAACAAACUCCAGCAUCCGAACGACGUCGUUCAUGGAAGGCCUCUGAGUUCCAUCCUCAAGCAAACAACUCAGCGCAACCUCACCAUAUUUUUGCAAACACUGAGGCGCUAUCUGGCCCUUCAGUUUUGUAUCCACAAUCUCACUUAGAGUUCCCUUCUCAUAGCAAUGCUUUGCCCAAUUAACAAGUGACAUUCGUUGCUUCUCCUCCCAACGGAGCAAAGGUUGCCUCCCAGACAAUACCUCCAAGAGCACCACCCCAAAGGAAUACACAUCAGACUUCUCAGUCAAACGCUGUCGUUUGUAAUACUCCGGGUCUAAAUAUCCAACGCUACCUUUCACCUGAGUGCUCACAUGGGUCAUUGAAGAACCAAUGGGCCCAAUUCGGGAUAACCCGAAGUCUGAAACCUUGGCGACCCAUUUCUCAUCCAAUAAGAUGUUGGUGCUCUUCACGUCACGGUGAAUGAUCGUGUGCUUUGCACCUGUAUGCAGAUAGUGGAGUCCUCGUGCAGCACCUAUGCAUAUCUGGAGCCUUUGUUUCCAUGAAAGGGAAGGGUUAUCAGUGUCGUAGAGAUGCUCACGGAGGGUUCCGCGAUCCAUGAAAUCAUACACCAGUAUCAUUUCGUUGCUCUCGUAACAGUAACCAACGAGGGAGACAAGAUGGAGAUGGCGAAGUUGAGACAGCAUUUCGAUCUCGUUCAUGAACUCCUGCGCACCUUGCCGAGAAUCCGGUUUGAGCCUUUUGAUUGCGACUCGGGUUGAACCGUCGUCGAUGUAGCCUUUGUACACGUUGCCGAAGCCUCCCAUGCCAACUAUGAAGUGUUCGUCGAAGUAGUUGGUGGCGGCCCUGAUUUCCGCAAUCGUGAAGUGGCGACAAAGGCUGGUUGGUAGUGAUGAUAAGCCACCGCCCAGAGGAGUUUCGUCUUUUUUCUUGGAACCCAUCUUCUUCUGGCGUUGGAUGAGGAAGAAAGCGACAAAAAAGGAGAGCAAAACGGCAGCAGAAACUGCACCUGCCACGGCGGCGGCAAGGUUCCUUGUGGUGCCGCUGCUUUUAUUGUUUGGUCUUUGAAGGGGAACAAUGGGGGUUUCUGGAAGACGGUUUGGGUCUGGAUUUCGCCCAGCAAGACUACCGUUAUAGUUGUUGAUUUUGAAGAGUUCAAUUGCGUUUAUUUGAGCGUCCUUGGCCAAGCUUUGAGGGUUAGGAUGCAUUUUCAGUGAAAGAUUAAGCGUUUCCUGCUGAUUCCCUGGGAUGAAAACUACAUACUGUUUAACCACUGGGACACCCUUCUGUUUAUCGCUCCAACCGAGAAUGUCUGCCCACUUUUCAACCAUCUGAUCCUGAACGAAGAUGAAGAAGCUCAGGUCACCAGGAAGGCUAAUAUUCGGGUCAAGCUGGCAAAAGUGUAAUCUUAGCAAGUAGGUGAAGCCUGAAUCAACGGGAAGUUGCCAUGUGAGGUUGAAACCCAUGUUGAAGGUACCAUUACUUCCCAUAUUCCUUACGGAUCGGUACACUGUGUCUGGUGCAGUGUAGUUAGGAGUCUUCUUUGUGAAUCUCAGCUUAAUUCCAGUGGAAAUAUCUAGAGAUAGUACACUUUGAGUCGUUACAUAUUUGCUAUCCACAUCCCAGAACCUGAGCAUACCCGUGUCCUGUGAGGCCGGGAUUUCUUGGUCUCCAACUCUUAACCGAUACUUUGUCUCCAGAGUAAAGUUGUUUUCAAUGGGGAACUGCAGGUUCAUACUGUCACCAACGAGUUGAGGCAAUCCAGUGAUGUCGACGUCGUGAGGAUUGGUGUAGUAGAGAAAAGGGGGCAUUGAAACAAUCUCUAUUCCAUUGAUGAAAGCGUACGAAUCUUCGGUGCUUGCAAUGAAGCUUAUGUUGAGCCUCUCACCAUCUCGGAGGUUGAUGCAAUACUCUCUUAAUAAGGUAUUUUCCGGGUCAUCAUCAGCAUCAGCAUGGAGGGAAGCAUUGAAGUCUUGAAGGAGGGUGUAUGGGCCUGCUUUGACUGAGAAAUAGGCUUUGGAGCGAUCGAAGUUUCGGUAGGAAGUUGAGUAGAAGAAGAGGCGAAGAAACUUAGGGCCUGUGGAGACAGGGAAAGAGUAAGUGAAUUGGGAGUGAGAGAAACGAGCAUCGGUGUAAGGACCUUCCAGGGUAGAUGGUGUGAGUGCAGGAGCAGCAACUGAGUCCUUGUUUUCUGAGAGGAAUUUGAUGUCUGCAGUCCAAUUGCGACCAUCGCGCGUGGACAAGCUACUGUUAGAGCCACAGUUGAUGCUGAAGAGUUCAACGGGACUAUAAACAACAUCUGCUAUGGAAAGGUUAGGGAGGGACAAGAAUAGGAGGUGGAGGAGGAUGGCUCCUAAAGCAAAUCGUACGCAAGUUGUGCCCAUGGAUAAACUGUAAUCGAAGCACCACACAGUUGCAAAACAGUGAGCUCAAACGAUAGAAAUCAGCUAUGAAGUAUGAAUAUACUUAAUUAUCAAGAUUUCCUUUACUACCAGUGCGGUUCGUGUCUUUUUUUUUUUUUUUUUUCUCUUUCUUUGUAAUCAAGCAUGAGAUUUCAAGUCUACGAUUGCCUUUGAUUUUUGAUUGUUUUAUGGACUGGCUGCUACAAAUCAAUGGACUGUGUGGAAAUUUCAGCCACGGCAAAAAGAAUAAUAUAUGUUUUGUGGACAACGAUGUUAAUAGACAUUAAUUUAAAAAAAAUAGAGAGAAAAAAUAAACAGAUUUAGAAAAUGUCAAAUAGGAGAAACCUAUUUACAUAUUAGAGUGUCCGGAUAUCUGUUUUGUGAUUUUUGCUUUAGUCAUAGGUCUUUUGCGGGAAGCUUCAUAUAGGUGUUAGUUUUCCUCCUUUCUUUAAUAUGUAGUCUAAGCCUUUCUUGUUAGAGAAAAAAAAUUGUUGUGAUUUUUGUGUAUGUUGCAUUAUUUAAACAUAAAAAAAUGGUUUGGGAUUUUUAAAACUUUUUUUUAUGUUUUAGUCUUUGUAGCUUUUUUUAAUAAUUUUGAUUCCCAUAAAGUUUUAUUUUCUAGUAUAAUUAAAAAUAAAAUAGAAUUCAAUUUGAAUUCGCAGAUAAUAACAUACUCAUAAUAAUUAUUAUAAUUAAAAAUAAAAUAUGAUUUUUAAUAAUAAUAAUAAUAAUAAUAAUAAUAAUAAUAAUAAUAAUAAUAAUAAUAAUAAUAAUAAUAAUAAUAAUAAUAAUAAUAAUAAUAAUAAUAAUAAUAAUAAUAAUAAUAAUAAUAAUAUUUUAAUAUAUUUAAUAAACAUGUUAACAAAAGCAAUCAACUAAAUAUAUAAGAAUCUAAGAGUAUUUUGUUCCCGCUGAUAUUGACACCAACGAGUUGAGGCAAUCCAGUGAUGUCGACGUCGUCAGGAUUGGUGUAGUAAAAGGGGGCAUUGAAACAAUCUCUAUUCCAUUGAUGAAAGCGUACGAAUCUGGAUUCUGAGAUGUUUUGCUUGCAAUGAAGGUUAUGUUGAGCCGAUCGCCAUCUUUGAGGUUGGUGCAAUACUCCCUGAACAAGUAGUCGCCAGGGUCGUUACCAGCGUCAGCAUGGAGGGAAGCGUUGAAAUCCUGAAGGAGGGUGUAUGGGCCUGCUUUGACUGAGAAAUAGGCUUUGGAGCGAUGGAAGUUUUGGUAGGAAGUUGAGUAGAAGAAGAGGCGAAGAAACUUUGGGCCAGUGGAGACAGGGAAAGAGUAAGUGAGUUGGGAGUGAGAGAAACGAGUGAGUGGACAAGCUACUGUUAGAGCCACAGUUGAUGCUGAAGAGUUCAACGGGACUAUAAAUAACAUCUGCUAUGGAAAGAUAAGGAAAGAACAGCAACAGAAGGAAGAGGAUGGUCCCUGAAGCAAUUUGGGUGCUAGUUGUGUCCAUGGAAAUAAGCUGUAAUCGAAGCAGCACACAGUUGCAAAACAGUGAGCUCAAAAUUAUCAAGAUUUCCUUUACUACUUGUGCAGGAUUGUUCGUGUCUUUUUUUUCUUUCGUUCUAAGCAAGCAUGAGAUUUCAAGUAUACGCUUGCCUUUGAUUUUUGUUUGUUUGUUUUAUGAACUGGCUGCUACAAGUCAAGCGACUGUGUGUGGAAAUUUCAGCCACGACAAAAAGAAUAAUAUAUGAUUUGUAGACAACGAUGUUAAUAGACAUUAAUUAAGAAAAAAGAAAGAGAGAGAAAAAAAUAAAGAGAUUUAAAAAAUGUCAAAUAGGAAAAACCUAUAUAUAUUAGAGUGUCCGUAUAUGAGUUUUGUGAUUUUUGCCUGAGUCAUAGGUGUUUUGUGGGAAGCUUCAUAUAGGUGUUAGUUUUCCUCGUUUCUUUAAUAUCUAGUCUAAGCCUUUCUUGUUAGAGAAAAAAAAAAUUGUUGUGAUUUUUGUUUAUGCAUUAUUUAAACAUAAAACAAUUAACAUUAUUGAAUAUGGUAGAUCGGUAUUUUAUUUAAUUACUUUUAUGUUGUUAUUUGUUUGUAAAUAUAAAUUUCUAUAAAUUAUCUUAAAAACGAAAAAGAACUUUUUUAUUGUGUCAUUAGGAUAUAGAAGAAACUUCCAUUUUAUUUUAUCAUUUAGAUGACGAAAGCACCGUGUUAUUUUAUUAAGUUAUAGGAAAAAUGUGGAACAUCUCAUUUAAUGAUAUAUUAUUGUCUAUAAAAAAAUAUUCAUACUAAGAAAGAUUGUUUAUAUUUCAACACUCUUAAAUAUCAAACACCUCAUUAACGACUUUAAUUUUUUUUCUAUUUCUAUCUUUCUCAAGAUGCUAUUUGGUUUCGGAUGUUUAAAAACUUUUUUUGUUUAUGUUUUAGUCUUUGUAGUUUUUUUUAAAAAAAUAAUUUUGAUUCCUAUAAAAUUUUAUUUCACAAUGUAAUUAAAAAUAAAAUACAAAUCAAUUUGAAUUUGUAAAUAAUAACAUACUCAUAAUGAUUAUUACAAUUUAAAAUAAAAUAUGAUUUUUAAGAUGAUAAUUUACAAAUAAUAAUAAGGGUCAUGUUCAACACUAGACCAAUGAUUUUAUGAUUUUUCUUUAUCAAUUCAAGUGAUUUUAUUUUACCCACAUUUGUUCAUUUACAUGCUCAUGAUUCCUUACAAUGACAAACUUAUUUUAUUUAUCUAUCUCCCAAAUUCCUUUAAAAAAAUUCAACAAAUAAAAUGUAUAAAGUCUAAAGAUGUUUGCAGAAAUGCAUGGGCAUAAAAUUAUCCUUCUAUGUCUAGCAAUGACUUUCUUAUGAAAUCUUUUCUCUUUGUUCUGUUAGAAGUUACUCUCUUUCGAGCAUCUAACCUCUAAAACUAAUGCAUGCAUAUUUCCUUUAAAUCUUAUUUAGAAGUUACUUUCUCUUGCACGUCUAACCCCCGAAAGAAUAUAAAGAUGAAUAAUGCAAUAUAAAAAUAGAAAAUAUAAUAGAAUAGAAAAACCUGGAAAAGAAUCUUGUUGCAUUAAUAAGUAUGAAGUACACCAUACAUCGUUGGCUUAGCCACUCAUGACCAUGAGGGCUUUACAAUGGAAGGGUUGAAAGAAGGAAAGAGAUACAAAUGAUGAAAGAAAAGAGAGGAAGAGUUCUCAGGCUUUAAGUAGUAGUGAGACUGCUUUGAGACUCGGUGUGUCGUUUCUCCUUGGCCAGACUCUUUAUUUAUAGUUGCUGAAGUAGACUUUGGGCCUUCGUAGGCUCGCUUAGCGUGACAUCCCUCGCUUAGCGCGUACAAAUCGUGCGCUUAAUGAGCUCCUCUCGCUUAACGCGUGUUGCUUCUAUUGGAUCGCGCGCUUAGCGCAUGCUGUUCUGUUAUGCGCGCUUAGCGCGUGUUGCACGCUAAACGCGAGUACUGACUUUUGUGCUUAACGCCUGUAUCUCCUGGCUCGCUCAACGCGAAUUGAACGCUGAGCGAGGCAUCUGGGUUGGGCCUUGUUACUAGUUUUUUUUUCUUUUCUUCGUAUUUUCUCUAGUUUUUUGCUUUUAGUACCUCCAAUUUUUAUAUCAGCAAUCAAGAUUUGGAAAAACAUCAAUUCUUAACAAUUAAAUGCAAAUAAUUGCUAAAUAAUUAUUUUUAAAGAAAGUUUUGCUUUAUUUUCUAUCAUCAAAGUACAAUUAAUUAUUUAGCAGUUAUCAACCAAUAAGUCAAUAACAUUAUGCUCCAUCCAACAUUUUAAUUUUUUUGAUAUAUUUAAUAAAACAUUUUAACAAAAGUCAUGGCUAAACAUCUAAGAGCAUUUGGAUCUAUUUGCUACAUACAUGUUCCAGCUCAUAAGAGAUAUGAGCUAAAAGACAAGACUACAAGAUGAAAUCUUCUUGGGAUACAAUACACAAUCAAAAGGCUAGUCAGUCUAUAACUUACAAACAAAGAAACUAGUCAUUAGUCAAGAUGUUCAUGAAAGUGCUUCUUGGAAUUGGGAAGCAAGAAAAGUUCAACAAGUGACAGAUGAAGAAGGUAUAUAUGCUUCCAUCACCUCUACAAUAAGAUUCUUCUCGAGAGUCUACUCCAAGAUGAGUAAAAUCCAUUGUGGACAUAUAUGAAACUUGCAACACAGUUAUACUUGAGCCUAUAUACUAUCAAGAAACUUCAAAGAAACUAAGCAAAAGCACAUCGAACUCGAGCACUACAAGAUUGAAGAAUGAGUAUUUACGAAGGUACUAUCAAGAACUAAGUUUAAGUUACCAUGGAUGAAAUUUAGAGUUAUUGAAAUUUGUAUGAAGGAGGAGUGUUAAAAUAUGAUAGAAAUUUCUAGAAAAGAAAAGACAAAAGUCUUAGAAACUCAUGAUUUUUCUCGAAAUUAAAUAUACUAGAAAAAUAUAAGAGUAUUAUUAAGAACAAUCUACAAAGAUUAAAGAUCUAAGUAGACUAUAGUAUUCUAGACUAUUGUAUAUGUUGUAACAAUAGUUUAUGACAAACCGAAAAAAAUACUAGCUGAGUCACGGACAAUGUCGCUUUCUUUAAGACGUUUCGUGGCACUGCCAAAAAUUGUGCAAGCAGACUAUCAACCACGACGUCCCCAGGAUAAAACAGCCAAGAUCACUGUAUAAGAUUCCCACUGCACUGAGGGAACCUUUUCUAGAAUUACACCCUCUUGUAUGACUUGAAAAGUCACUCUAAAAGCCAACCGAAAAUAUGACUUGAAAAGUCACUCUAAUAGCCAACCGAAAAAUGUGACUUAAAAAGUCACUCUUAAAACCAACUGAAAAAUAUGACUUACAAAAUCACUCUUAAAGGCAACCGAAAAAUAUGACUUACAAAGUCACUCUUAAAGGCAAUCGAAAAUUUUAGAGCGACAGAAAGAAAAAGGGAGAAGUUUGUCGGAAAUGCAUCGGCUGAAAUAUGGGAGGGAGAAAGAAAAGUUGAGGAAAUGUUUUUCAAUUGGGGCAAGGAAAAAAGAAGAAAUGAACUCUCUAUAUAUAGGGAGUGAAACACUAUUCAAGUGUUUAUCCUGAGCGACGUGGAACUUGAAGCUUUUUUUUUCUUUUUUUCCUUUCUUUUUUUUUUUCAAACUUUCAUUUGUUCUAACAGUAUAAAAUUUUAAAAAAUCUAUUUCUAGAAAUAUGAUGUCACCAUCCUUGCUUGUUUAUAAAUAGGCUUACAACACCUUGAUGUAAUGAGUUUGAGAAAUCAACGUAUACUCCUUCUAUUGUCUAAAAGCUACACUACCACUAAGUCAUCUUACUACUAAUUAAUAUUUCUAACUACACCUUCAUCCUAAACCCAACUAUCAAUCAUCAUCCAACAACUAACUAUCUUUCUAUUCCCCUAAAAUACUAACAGAUAGCAGCUCAGUGUUUGAAAAAAUAUGGUGUGGUUGCGCUGAGUUGUUUGCAUGAGGAUGGGACUCAGAGGCCUCCCAUGAACGACGACGUUAGGGUGCUGGAGUUUGUUCUGCAGCUUCAGGAUAGUGUUGUUAGCGGAGUGGUUGCGGAGAGUGGUGGGAAUAAUUCUGAAGAUAGUGAUGACAUGUUUAGCAUUAGCCAAAGUAGUGAACAUGUUUCUGAUCAUGUUUAGCAUUAGCCAAAGUAGUGAACAUGUUUCUGAUUAUAGUAAGAGCACUGGAUAUAUUGAGCAUGACAAGCGAUGGAGAUCGGAGCUUGUUUUCUCUGAGAUUAACGAUCCAAAGGGGAGAUGAGGUUGGAAGACUAUGCUCUUUAAAAGUUCAGCCUGAGUUUGUUGAGAAAAAGUGUGCUCUUUAAAAUUUAAAAGUGUGUAUUAAUUAGGAAUAUCCUAAAUAUAAUUUUAAAGUUCUCCUAGGAAUACCGUCGUGCAUUUCGCAUUUGAAAUCAAAUAAGUUUGAGUUGUAUUUUGAUAAUUUGUUUCCUCCAACAAAUUCGUACCAUUGCUACAAUUGCAAUAGCUGAAAGAAGAGUGUUGUAAUAGUUGAAAGAUUAGUGUUGGGAAAUCACAACUCAUUAUAGUACUAGUUUUAAUUUUUAAUCAUGUUGAAACUAAGAACCUUUAAUUGAAACUAAGCAAAGAAAAAACAACUCUUACAGUUUAUUUAACCAUAUUUACAAAAUAUUUGUUUUAUAAUUUAAAAUUUAUAAAAAUAUAUUACUUAUACUAAUUUUGUUUAAUUUAAAAAUAAAUUAAAAUUUUUAUCUAUUAAGAUUUUGUUUUUAGUGGUUAAUGUGUUUUUAUUUUGCAAGUUGGUUUCUAAUAUUCAUGUAAUUUUACUGAGUUUUUUUUUUCCUAUUACAUAAGAGAAUUUAUGUUUAUAUAUAUCACUUUCCUCAUUUGAGACAAAACACAUAAGGAAAAAUAAUUUAAUUUUUUUUUUUAAAUUUCUUCUCUUCCUUUUCUUUUAAAAAAAUUAUUAUCUUUUUUAGAGAAAGAGCAUUGAACAUUUUUUCUUUAAGGAUAAUAUUUGUAUGCUUCAAAUCAGAUUAAUUAAAAUUUUCUCCUUUAAAUUAUUUUUUUAUGUUUAUUGUAUAUUAUAUUAUAUUAUUUUAUUAUUUAGUUUAGCACUUUACAUUUUCUUUUCAUUUAUUUUUAUUUUAUUUUCUAACAAAUCACAACUCAUCAUUAUAAUACUAGUUUUAAUUUUUAAUCAUGUUGAAACUAAGAACCUUUAAUUGAAACUAUGCAAAGAAAACAAACUCUUACAAUUUAUUUAGUCAUAUUUACAAUAUACUCCACAAGUACCAAUAUGAUGUCUGCACUUCUAAUUGUGAUUAUUUUUUUAUAAUGAUAAUUAGACGAAAAUACCAAUAUUAAAAAAAAUAGACAAUUAAAAAAAAGUUCAAGAAAAGCUUAUUUUAUUUUUUAUAGUGAAUUGGGACUAAGAGACGGGCUGACGUAUAAGGACCCAUUAUGGUUGAUUGUUUGAGUAAAGGAGCAGCAACUGAGUCCUUGUUUUCUGAGAGGAAUUUAAUGUCUCCAGUCCAACUCCGACCAUCGCGGGUGGUCCUGAAGCAAUUUGGGUGCCAGUUGCAUGUGCCCAUGGAUAUCAUAAGCUGUAAUCUGUUUUGCACACAGUAGCAAAAUAGAUAACUCAAACGUGAAUAGAUCAACCAAUGAAUUUAUACUUUAAUUAUCAAGAUUUCCAUUACUACUAGUGCAGGGUGGUUCGUGUCUAUUUUUCUAAGCAAACAGAAGAUCUCAAGUCUACGCUUGCUUUUGAUUUUUGUUUGUUUUAUGGACUGGCUGCAACAAGUCAAUGUACUAUGUGUGGAAAUUUCAGUCACGGCAAAAAUAAUAAUGACUAGUGGACAACGAUGUUAAUAGACAUUAAUAAAAAGAAACAGAUAAAAAAAUAUAUAAAUAUUUGAAAGAAAAAAAAAAGAGAAAUUUGUCGAUUGGAUGUUUAAAAUUUUUAGUUAUGCAAAUAUCAUCACUCAUUUGAAAAUGUCAGAUAGGAAAACCCUAUUUAUAUAUUAGUGUCCGCAUAUCAGUUUUGAGAUUUUAAUUUUUUUCUCAGCCAUGGGUCUUUUGUGGGAAGACUUCAUCAGUGUUAGCUAGUUUUCCUCGUAUGGUCUAAUUAAGCCUUCCUUGGUAGAAAAAAAAAUGUUGUGGUUUUUGUUUAUGUUGCAUUAUUUAAGCAAUAAUUAACAUAUUGAAUAUGGUAGAUCGGUAUUGUAUUUAAUUUUGUUUUAUGUUUUUAUUUGUUUAAUUUGUAUAUGUGCAUUUCUAAUAUAUAUCUUAAAACAGAAAGAGACCGUUUUUUUAUUGUGCCAUUAGGAUAUACAGUAACUUCAAUUUUAUUUUAUUAUUUAGAUGAUGAAAGCACCGUAUUAUUUUAUGAAGUUUACAGGAAAAAUGUAGAACACAUCGUUUUAGAAUGUAUUAGAAUCAUAAAAGACGAUGUCUAUCGUAGUCUAGUAACAAUAUCAUACAUCUCAUGCACUGGAUUAUGUCCCUUUCCUCUGAUUUUUUUUUUCUCUGAAACUCCUCCAUCACCUUCACCACCAGCCACAGCGGGUCCACCGCCACCUGAAACAUCACACUGCACCACCACCCAGUGCUUCAUCUGCCCCAUGGCCACAUGGAUAUUUGGCGCCAGCCAGAUCAUGUCGGGAUUGAGAAGGUGCACGAUUGUGUGGACAAUAAACAAUAAACAGAAAAUAGAGAAACAACAUACCAAAUCCAGAAAAACAAAAGCACUGUCUCUUCUGAUUUUAACCCUUUUAUUUAUAAGAGUUGCAAGUUAGGUUUAAUUACACUUUUUACCUCAAACUUUUAUUUUUUUGAUGAAUUUUACCUAAACAAAUCAUUUUGACGCAUCUUAACCCUCACUUUUAAAUAACUGACGAAUUUUGUCUUCUGUCAAUUGUCGUUAAUUAAUUAACGGAGCAAACACUUUCUAGUUGUUUUUAGCCGCUACUAAACGCGCGUAUUUAACAUAAGUGUUUUUAACAUAAGCUGCUACUAUUAUUAAGUUUGUUUUUUUAUUUUUAUUUUUCCUCUCUUGAGAAGGUCUGGGCUUGCCUCUGCGUCACCAUAUGCUCCUAGAGCACAUUCACACUGUUGAACUUGUCCACGAUGUUGUCAUUGUUCACGAGCCCAAAGGCAAACCCGAGUUCAAGAGGCAUGUUAGUUAGUCUUAGCCGGUAGCCUAUAAUGGAGACGAACGAGCUCAGGUAGACUUGCACAACGUUGUAGAGCUCAUUAUAUUGAUGUUGUCAAAGUAGCAAUACGAGGAGAAGUAGUGGAAGAUCCGGUCGAAGAGCUUCACAAAGGUGAAACAGAGCUCGGGUGAGAACAUUGCGUGAACAUGGUUAAUUUGGUCGAAGGCAAACACACCCAAAAGUGUGACGCCAACGAUUCCAAUAUUCUUUCAUCCUUUUUAAAAGUGUAAAAAGGGUGUUGGACCAGUUGAUGAAGGGCUUUGCGGAGCUUUUGGGGAGAGGGUGUUUGAGAAUCACUUCAAAGGUGAUUCAAUAAUGUCGAGGCAGGCAAAAACAAGAAAAAAAAAUUAUAAUAGUGAUAGUUUUUUAGUGUCAUUAUGUUAAAAACAAUUAUUUUAAAUACGUGCACUUGGUUGGUAUAAAAACCCUCAAAAACUGUUAAUUAUGUUAGUCAAUCAAAAGACAAAUGACGGAAGGCAAAAAUUACCAAUUUUUAAAAGUGUACGAUAAAAUGUCAAAAUAACAAAUUUAUUGGGUACAAAAUUUGUCAAAAAAUUAAAAAAAUUGAGAUAAAAUCACAAUUAAGCCUUGAAGUAGAUAUAAUUAGGCAUAACAAUUAAAUCAAAACUUAUCAAAAAUUACUUUCUAGAUUUUCUUUUUGUUAUUAUUAUGAUAGUUUGCUAAAAAAAUCCCAAGUUUUAUGGCAGAAGAAGCAGGUAUGCUUCCUUCACUUCUACAACAAGAUUCUUCUCAAGAGUCUACUCCAAGACUAGUAAAAUUUUUGGUUGCAACACAGCUAUAUUUGAUCCUAAAUACUAUGAACAAACUUCAAAGAAACUAAGCAAAAGCACAUGGAGUUCGAGUUACUAUAGAUCAAAUUUGGAGUAAUUAAAAUUUGUAUCAAGGAGGAGUGUUAAAAUGAUAUAAAUUUCUAGAAAAGAAAAAACAAAACUCUUAGAAGCUAUGAUUUAUCUAAAAACUAAAUGUGCUAGAAAAGUAUUAGAAUAUUAUUAAGAAUAAUCUAAAAACAUUUAAGACCUAAAUAAAAGGUAAUAUUCUAAAUUAUUGUAUAAAAAUUUAGAAAAAUCUAUCUCUAUAGAAAUAUAAUGUCACCAAUAUUGCUUGCCUACAACACCUACCUUAAUGUGACAGAUUGAGAAAUCAAUGGAAAUUUCUCCUCCUAUUGUCCAAGUGUCUAAGAGCUACAGGACCAUUAAGUUAUCUAUUAUUUCUAAUUAAUAUUUCUAACUAUUCCUUCAUCCUAAACCCAACAAUUAAUCACCAUCCAACAGCUAAGUAUCUUUCUAUUCCCCUAAAAUACUAACAGAUAGCAGCUCAGUGUUUGAAAAAAUAUGGUGAGGUUGCGCUGAGUUGUUUGCAUGAGGAUGGGACUCAGAGGCCUCCCAUGAACGACGUCGUUAGGGUGCUGGAGUUUGUUCUGCAGCUUCAGGAUAGUGUUGUUAGUGGAGUGGCUGUGGAGAGUGGCGGGAAUAAUUAUGAAGAUAGUGAUGACAUGUUUAGCAUUAGCCAAAGUAGUGAACAUGUUUCUGAUUAUAGUAAGAGCACUAGAUAUAUUGAGCAUGACAAGCGAUGGAGAUCGUAGCUUUGUGAGUAAGGAAUCUGACAAGUUGGUCCCUGAAGAGCUUGUUUUCUCUGAGAUUAACGAUCCAAAGGGGAGAUGUGAGGUUGGAAGACUAUGCUCUUUAAAAGUUCAGCCUGAGUUUGUUGAGUAAAAACGUGUGCUCUUUAAAAGUUUAAAAGUGCUAUAAAUUUAAAAGUGUGUAUUAAUUAGGAAUAUCCUAAAUAUAUUUUUGAAGUUCUCUUAGGAAUACUGUCGUGCAUUUCGCAUUUGAAAUCAAAUAAGUUUGAAGUUGUCUUUUGAUGAUUUUAGUUUCCUCCAACAAAUUCAUACCAUUGCUACAAUUGUAAUAGUUUGAAAGAAGAGUGUUGUAAUAGUUGAAAUAUUAGUGUUGGGAAAUCACAACUCAUCAUCAUAGUACUGCUUUUAAUUUUUAAUUCGUUAAAAAAAUAUCAUGAAAAACUAACAACCUUUAAUUAAAACUAUGCAAAGAAAAAAAAAACACUUACAAUUUAUUUAGUCAUGUUUACACUAUACUCCCCAAGCACCAGUAAUUGUGAUUAAUUUUUUUAUAAUGAUAAUUAGACGGAAAUACCCAAUAUUAAAAUAACAAAUCAGAGAUACAAUUAAAAAAAAGCUAAUUUUUUUUAUAGUUAAUUGGGACUAGGAGAGACUGAGGUAUAAGGACCCACUAUCGUUGAUUGUUUGAGUGCAGGAGCAGCAACUGAGUCGUUGUUUUCUGAGAGGAAUUUGAUGUCUCCAUCCAAUUCCGACCAUCGCGGGUGGUCCUGAAGCAAUUUGGGUGCCAGUUGCAUGUGCCCAUGGAUAUGAUAAGAUGUAAUCGAAGCAGCACACAGUAGCAAAACAGAUAACUCAAACGUGAAUACAUCAACCAACGAAUUAUAUAUAUAUAUAUAUAUAUAUAUAUAUAUAUAUAUAUAUAUAUAUAUAUAUACAAUUAAUUAUCAACAUUUCUGUUACUACGUACUAGUGCAGGGUGGUUCGUGUCUAUUUUUUCUAGGCAAGAAGGAGAUUUUAAGUCUACACUUUUGAUUUUUAUUUGUUUUAUGGACUGGCUGCGACAAGUCAAAUGUUUAAUGUGUGAAAAUUUCAUCCCCGGGAAAAAGAACAAUGAUUUGUGGACAACGAUGUUUAUAGACAUUAAGAAAAAGAAAGAGAUAGAAAAAUAUAUAUAUAUAAUAACUAAUAAGUGAUAAAAAAUAAAUAAAGAUAUUUGAAAAAUGUCAAAUAGGAAAAACCUAUUAAGAGCGUCUGUAUAUCAGUUUUGUGAUCAUAUUUAUAAAGACAAGGAUAAAGCAAAUAAAUUCAAAGUUUUUGGAAUUGUUUGAGUUUAUUAUCAUUAAACAGUUACGAUAAGGCAGAAGUUGGGUCAGCCAAAAUCAAGAUAAGUCUUUAUUCAUUUGGAUCCGAAAAAAUAGGAACAAAGAGCUAGCGGUUAAGAUAGUGGAAUAAUAAGCUUAACUGAGUGUGUCUUAAAGAUAGGAACAAAAAUCAUAACAAAAAGAUUACAAUUGACCUCUAUAUAUAUAUAUAUAUAUAUAUAUAUAUAUAUAUAUAUAUAUAUAUAUAUAUAUAUAUAUAUAUAUAUAGAAUUUGAAAUCUUUGUGCCUAAGGGAAUAUUAAUUUGUUAUACCUGUCUCUUGCAAUCUUGACAAGCACCAAGCAAGAAGAUCACGGAGGAUUUGCGACUAAAUUUUCCAUCUCACCCCAGACAAAGUCCUUGAAUUAAGAUGGUUUUGUCACUGUCCUCUUGGGCUUUUCUACUUUUUGCACCUCUGCUACUAUUAUUUCUGCAUGUUUUGCUACCCAUGUUUCUAUACCAGCUAGUUCCUCUUCCUUAUCACUCUGCGGCCCUUGGAAAAACACAUUGUCCUCAAGGUGAUAUUCUUGACGAAGCUAGGACCAGUCCUCCCAAGAGGUGUCGUCUGGUGAUAAUCCCUGCCACUGGACUAAUACCUCCCAGGCAGCGUUGGGUGGUGGUGUGGUUCUUCGAUAAUCCAGGAUCGCCAUUAGAGCUAUGACAGGUUGAUGAUCUAUAAUUGGACCUAGUAGUGUGGCUGUUGUAUCUUUCGGGUCCCUGCGGAAUGGCUUCAGCAUGGAACAGUGAAAAACUGAGUGGAUCCUUGCUUCUGCCAGAAGUUGUAGACGAUAGUCGACUUUGCCAAUACGUUCAAUGAUCUGAAAAGGACCAUAAAACCUUUUGGCUAGUUUACCAGAGAAUGCUUGGGAGCCCUUGGCAGUGGAUUGUCGGUGAGGACGUAGUUUCAGCAAUACCCACUCUCCAGGGUGAUAGUUCACAUCACGACGUCUCGUGUCUACUUGGUCUUUCAUUGAAGCUUGUACCUUCAAUAGCUUCUUUCAAAUGAGCUAAAAUACUUUGUCUCUAUUAUUCAUCAUGGUAUCAACAACAUUAAGAUUAGAGGUUCCGACGAUGUAUGCCGGAAAAUUGAAUAGCUUUCGACUAAAUGUAACUUCAUACGGUGUGGUGCUCAUUGUUAAAUUCCAAGACGUGUUAUGGGAGUACUCUAUCCAUGCAAGAAACUUGCCCCAAUUAGAUGGCUGGUGGUGAACAAAGGACUGCAAAUAUUGUUCAAUAACAUGGUUUAGGACCUCAGUCUGGCCAUCAUUCUGAGGGUGAUUGAUAACUGCUAAAUAAUUGUGAAUUUAUAGGAGUUAAAUAGUCAAAUUUUGGCUUAAAAUUAAUUAUUUAGCAGUUAUUUGUAAUUAAAAGUGAGAAAAUUAAUUUAAUUGAAUUUCUGGUUGCAGAUACGAAAAAUAAGGUUGCAUUUAGCAAAAGUGGCACAGAAAGGAAGAAAAAAGAAGAAAUUCUGAAGCAGGCCCAAUCCAAUAGGGGCGCUAAGCGCGCAUCAGGCGCUAAGCGAGCAACUAACUGCAGGCGCUGAGCGUGGCGUUAAGCACGAAGGAAGAAACCGUUACGCGCGCUAAGCCCAGCUAGGCGCCCAGCGCGCGAUCCAACAGAAGCACAGGCCCAGCGUGCAUGGCGCACCCAGCACGCGAUCUGAACGCGCUAAGCGCGAGGUGUGGCGCUGAGCGCGACUACGAAGGCCCAUAAGCCCACUUCAGCAACUAUAAAGAGAGAGGCAGUCCCAAGGAAACUUCAUCCCGUCUCAGAGCACUACUCUCAGUCCUUCAAGCCUGAGUUUUCUUUCCUCUCUCUAUAUUCUUUGUUUUAUUAGCCCUAUUCGUUCUUUCAUCCCCAGUUGUAAGCCCUUAAUGGCCAUGAGUGGCUAAUCCCCUAGCUAGGGCCUGGCAGGCCUAAAAAGCCAACGAUGUACAAUGAGCUUCAAGAGUUAUCAAUGCAAAGGAAUUUAUUCCAGGUUUUUCUGUUCUAUUUCUAUUCUUGUAUUCUUGCAUUCAUUCUUAGAUCUCUUUUUGGGUUUUUUUCGCUCGGGAGAGGGUAAUUCCCAAUAAAUAUUUAAGAUUCAAUGCAUGCAUCAGUUUUAGGGGUUAUACGCUUGGGAAAGGGUAACACCUAAUAGAACAUCUUAAGAAAAGAAUCAUUGGGUUAGCAUUGCUAGGCAUAGAAUGAUAACUCACUGCCCAUGCAUUUAAGCAACAUCUAGAACUUAAUCUUAAUGCAUUUUAAUUAUUGAAUCUUCGCAAAGGCAUUUGGGAGAUAGGUAGUUAAAAUAGGCUUGCCAACGUGAGGCAUCAGGGGCAAGUAGUCAACAGAUGUGGGUAGAACUAAUACCAUUUCAUUGAUAAUGAAUAUCAUAUUUACAUGCAUCGUAGGCCAAUUGGGUUUGUCUGGUCUUGGCAUUUUUAUCAAUUGUUUUUCCCUUUUACUUAUUUGUUUUAGUGAUAACACUCUAUUCUUACUUUUAUUCCUGUUUUUAAUAUUUUACUUUCACUUACAAAUUGAGGAGUAUUUAAUAAGUGCAAUAAAAUCCCUGUGGACACGAUAUUCGGACUUCCGAGAUUUACUACUUGCAACGAUUUGGUGCACUUGCCAAAGUCUUAACAGUGAUAGGCUAAACUCAUCCUUAAUUGUGUUCUGCUUAGACGAAAAAGCUCCUGCCAGAACUUGCUAACAAAUAAUUGGUCCCUAUCGGGGACCAAGCUCUGAGGUACCCCAUGGAUCUUCACAACAAGCUCCAAGAACAGAGAGGCCACUAUGUAAGCAGUAUGCGCAAUAGGAAGCAUGCCCAAAUGCACGCCCUUCAAGAAUCAAUCAACCAUAACGAGAAUGACAGUAUUGUCGUGAUAUGGAGGUAGCCCUGUGAUUAAAUCAAGGGAGAGGUCCUCCCAAGGCCGAUGCGGCACCGGCAAGGGGCACAACAAUCCAACAAGCUUCUUUGUCUCAUAUUUAGUGCACUGACAGUCGAGACACGUGGCUAUGAAUUGAGUGACGUCACUCCGAAGACUAGGCCAAUAAAAGUUCUCAGAAAUUCUGGCAAUUGUCUUGGCGAUCUUGGCGUGUCUUCUAGUAGGAGUAGCAUGGUAUUCUCUUAGCAACGUAGUGAUCAUUGGGAGGUCCCAUGGAAGCCAAAUUUGGCCUCAAUGGAUAAUCAUGUUGUUGGCAACGGAGAAGUUGGAGUGGUUUUUGGGGUUGUCAAUGAUUUUAGUGCGUUGUUGAACAUAGCCUGAAUGAACUUCUAAUUGAUGGCGAAGUUCUUCCAGGAAAGUUAAACAAGGAACCGAGAGGAUCAUAGAGAUCGACGGCUCUUGUUCUGACAACCUUGAUAACGCAUCUGCAACCUGGUUGUGAGCACCGAAGCGGUAAUGAAUCUGGUAAUCAUAGCCCAUGAGCCUGGCCAAGUACAUGUGUUGCUCAGGUGUUUGAAUGACCUAGGUGAGCAGUUCCUUGAGACUACGAUGGUUAGUAAGUAUGAUAAAUUGAUGACCAAGUAAGUAUUGACGCCAUUUUUUGAUGGUCAUCGUAAUCGCGAGCAGCUCUCGCACAUACGUUGAUGAUCGAAGUAACUUGGCGCUGAAAGGUUUGCUAAAGAAUGUUAUGGGGUGUCCUCACUGUGAAAGAACGACACCCAUACCAACUCCUUACGCAUCUGUCUUGACCGUGAAUGGAAGGUCGAAGUCUAGCAAAGCUAACACUGGAGCUAUUGACAAGGCAUGUUUUAAAGUGUCAAAGGCUUCCUGUGUCUCUGAUGUCCAUUGAAGGGGUUCUUUGGUCAUAGCUUUGACCAAUGGGGCCGCAAUAGUGACAUACUUCUGAAUGAACCUACGAUAAAACCCAGCAAGGCCGAGCAAACUUCUCACGGCCUUCGUUGUGCGGGGAACAGGCCAUUGCUGAAUUGUGGCGACCUUUGAUGCUAAGGGCUCCACUCCCCGAUGUGAGACAAAAUGCCCCAAGUACUCCACCUAAGACUGGGCAAAGAUACAUUUAGAAAGCUUCAGAACAAAUUGGUUUGCAAGUAAUACCUGAAAGGUGAGCUCCAAAUGCUUCAAGUGUUCAUCAAUGGAGACACUAUAAAUUAGCAUAUAAUCGAAGAAGAUGAUGAUGAAACGAUGGAGGUAGGGGCGGAAGAUCAUGUUCAUAGUUGCUUGAAAUGAGGAAGGCGCAUUGCAUAACCCAAAUGGCAUCACCUUGAACUCAUAAUGGCCAUGGUGGGUUCGAAAGGCUAUUUUAGGAACAUCCUCAGAGUGCAUACGAACCUGAUGGUACCCCUAUAAUAAGUCAAGUUUGGAAAAGCACUACGCACCCCGUAACUUGUUGAGGAGCUCAUCAAUCGUCGGAAUUUGGAACCUGUCUCGCAUCGUCAAAGCAUUCAAAGCCCUAUAGUCAACACAAAAUUGCCAUGCACCAUCAUGCUUUUUGACCAACAACACCGGUGAGGAAAAUGGGCUGGUGCUUGGUUGGAUGAGCCCUUUUUGUAGCAUGGAAUCAACCUGAGAUUCGAUUUCCUACUUCUGGUAAUGAGGGUACCGGUAUAGUCUAACAUUGACUGGAGCUACCUGAGGAAGUAGGUGAAUGUAAUGAUCAGUCUCGCAAAUCGACGACAACGUGUGGGGUGGUUGGAACAGAGCAUCGAACUUGGUCAGCAGGGUGCAGAUGGCGAGAGGAAGUUCCUGGGGGAGGAAUCAUUAUCCGAAAGCAAAGUGAUGUGGUAAUAGAGAGCAUCAUUGUGCAUCCGACAGAGCCGUCGAAACAAAGAAAGGGAGCUAAGGGAAGCGUCCAUGUCACCCUGUAAAGUAAUCAGGCUUCCUUAUACAAGAAUUUCAUUGCCAAGGUGUUAUAAUCGGUCAAGAUCGGCCCUAACGAUUUGAGCCAUUGAAAGUAAGCACUACGUUUGCACCAAAAAUGGGCAAGACAUAAAGGUCAACCCUGAAUUCCAUGGCUUGAAUAUUGAUGGGAAUGGCUUCACAAAAAGAAUUGCAAUCUAAUUGUUGACCAUUGCCAACCAUAACACGCAAAGAAGUGGUAGGUCGAGAAGGAAGACCCAAUUGGGUGGUGAUAACUACUAAAUAUGAGUUAUUUUGAUGAUAAAAAUAUAUUGAAAAUAUCUUUAAAAAUAUUUAUUUAGCAGUUAUCUUUGACUUAAAUAUUAAGAUUUGAUAUUUUUCUUAUUUAUGACUUGCAGAUAUGAAAAAGAGAGAUUAAAAGAGAAAAAGAUCGAGAAAAUAUCCAAAGUCUCAAGAAGAUAUGAUUAAAAACAAAAAAAAAAUCCAAAAAAUAUCAAAAAGGAAAUUUCUAACAUCAAGCCCAAGUCCACUACAACAAAUAUAAAAAGAGAGUUAGUAGGGGUUUCAUUUACUCCCUUUCUUUCUUUCACCUCUCUUAUCUCAUCAGUUCUUAUAUCUCAUCCAUUUUUAAAGUCCUCAAUGGCCAUGAGUGGCUAAACCCCUAGUUAGGAUCUGGUAGGCCUAAAAGCCAAGCGAUGUAUGAUGUACUCAGUAUUUAUCAAUGCAAAGGUGUUUUCUAUUCUAUUAUCUUUUCUGCUUUUAUCUUGCAUUAUUCAUCUUUAUUAUUCUGUUAGGGGUUAGACGUGCUCGGGAGUGGGUAACUUCUAAAUAAAUUUUAAAGAAGGUAUGCAUGCAUUGGUUUUAGGGGUUAGAUGCUCGAAAGAUAGUAACUUCUAAUAGAACAAAAAGAAAGGAUUUCAUAGGAAAGUCAUUGCUAGACAUAGAAUGAUUAUUUUAUGCUCAUGCAUUCUUGCAAACAUCUCAAAUUCAUACUUCAUGCAUUUUAUUUGUUGAAUCUUUGCAAAGGAAUUUGGAAGAUAGAUAAAUAAAAUAGGCUUGUCAUCCUGAAGAAUCAGGGGCAAAUAAUUGAACAAAUGUGGUAGGUUCUUGAUUUUAUUUCUUUUAUCUUCUAUUUUUAUCUUUUAUUUUUUAUAUUAUCUUAUCUUAUCUUUUCUUAUUUUUAUCUUAAUCUUUUAUUUUAUUUUUUUACUUUUAUUUUCUUAUUUUCUUUAUCUUCUAUCUUUAUAAUCUUUUAAUCUAAAUCUUUUAUUUUUUUCUCUUCUAUUUUGAUCUUUAAAUCUUUAUCUUAUCUACUAUAUUUUCUUAUCUUUAUUUUAAGUUCUUUAUCUAUUGCUUUUAAAUUAAGUUUGUAUUAAUCCAACUACAAACAGAGUCCAUGUGGAUUCGACACUCGGACUUUCGAGUACUUUAUUACUUAUGACAAUUUGGUACACUUGCCAGCGAGUUAACAAGUUUUUGGCGCCGUUGCCGGAGACUUUUUUUUUCAUACUUGAUUAUUUGCAUAUUCCAAUUUUAAAGCAAUUAGUUUUCACUUUUUAUUUUUUAUUUUACUUUUUUAUCUAUUUUUUUUUUCAGUUGCUUCAUUUUAUUUUUCAAUUUUUUCUCUUUAUUCAUUCUUAUUGUAUUCUUUUCUUUUUUAUAAAAAUAAAAAUUAAAAAAAUAAAAAAAAAAAAAAAAUAUAUAUAUAUAUAUAUAUAUAUAUAUAUAUAUAAGUUUAAUUUUUAUUCUGUGAUAACGUGCACGGUAGUUGUUUCUUUUGUGAAUAGUGCACAUUCCUUCCUUAAAGAACGCAUCAUGGUAGAAGAUCGUCCAUAGAGGAUGACGCUAGAGGAUUACUCUAGUCCUAUUAUACCUCAAUACUUCACCGGCAUAGCCAGACCAAGGGUGCAGGCAGCCAACUUCUCAUAUCCAUAUUCAUUGAUCCAGCUGAUUCAAGGGAAUCUAUUUCACGGCCUACCAAGUGAAGAUCCAUACGAACACCUGGCCACAUACAUCGACAUUUGCAACACGGUGCAGGAGUUCCAGAAGACGCCAUCCGCCUCAAUCUAUUUUCUUUCUCCUUGGCUGGUAAAGCAAAAAUAUGGCUUUGCUCGUUUAAGGGGAAUAGCCUGCGGACAUGGGAUGAGGUGGUGGAGAAAUUCUUGAAGAAAUACUUCCUAGAAUCAAAGACUGUUGAAGGGAAGAUGAAAAUCUCUUCAUUCCAUCAAUUUCCUAAUGAAUCCCUCAACGAGGCGCUCGACCGUUUCCACAGACUACUCAAGAAGACGCCUACACAUGGGUACAGUGAACCAGUGCAACUGAAUAUCUUCAUAGAUGGCCUACGACCACAAUCAAAGCAAUUACUGGAUGCAUACGCAGGAGGAAAGAUCAAGCUAAAGACACCGGAGGAGGCAAUGGAACUUAUAGAAAACAUGGCGGCUAGUGAUCACGCCAUCCUUCGUGAUCACACAUAUGCCCCAACAAUGAGAAGCCUUCUAGAGCUCACUACUCAAGAUGCCACUUUGGCACAAAACAAGUUGUUGUCCCAACAAAUAGAAGCCCUAACAGAGACCCUCAACAAGCUCCCUCAACAACUACAAGUAGUAAGUCCUUCUUACUCUUCAAUCGUGCAAGUAGGGGGAUGCCACAUCUGUGGUGGUACUCAUGAGUCAGGCUCAUGCAUGGUCCAAGACGACGCAUCCAAUGAAGUUAACUACAUGGAUCGUCAUAAUCAUCAAGGAUUCCACCAAGGAGGACCACCAGGAUUCUAUCAAAGAGAUGAUUUUUUGCAGGACCACUAUUGGAUAUCUUAUCCAGGAAAUAACUUCCACCAAGGGGAUUCACCUUAUCAGCCUCCUAGCCAAGAGCCAAAUCAUCAAGAGAAACCUACUAAACUGGAAGAGUUGCUAAUACAGAUCAUGCAAAAGACCGAAUCACAUAUGAAAAGCACUGAUGCAACAAUCAGAAAUCUGGAGGUACAACUAGCUAAGCUAGUUUCUGAAAAGCCCACUGAAACCUUUGGGGUCAAUACUGAGAUGAAGUCCAAAGAAGAGUGCAAAGUAAUUUUCACUGGGAGAGUAGAGAAGGACAAUAAAAUCGAGGAGGAUGUGCAUGAUGAGGAAGGAGAAAAGGAGGAAGAGAAAGAAAAAAGUGAAGAGAAAGCACAACAAUGGGAGAAGUACUAACAAGUAGAAAUUCAACAAGAAAGUAUUCUCCAAGUCAAUACCCCUUCUCAUCAACUGAUUAUCAAGGAAGAAAGGCAUCGAGAACAUGAUAAACCCUUAAGUGUCCUUCUCUCCUUGACCACCAGCACUUCCCUUGCAACAAUAUGAAAGGUGUUUUCGGGAUACAUGAGUUUCAUGGCGUCUCUAGCUAAGAGGUGAAAAUGCAAGGAAGAUGUGUUAUUUGUGACCUUCAUGCCACCUUGAAAGCAUUUGACCCGUCAAGCUAAUGACGUUAAAGAAGCACUUACUGAGAGGCAACCCAGUAUUUCUUACCUUAUCUAUCUUUUAGUAGUUGCAAUUUGUUUUUUUUAGGAUAGUUGUGUUAUUUAUUUUCUUUAUUUUGAUUUUGUGCAUUUUGAUUUCAGCAAUUUAAUUCCAGUAGUUUAAAUUUAGUCAUUGAAUAAAAAUUGCAUGAUAUUUGUAAAGUCACUAUUUAAGCUUUUUCUGAAGGAUUCAACACUUGAAAUGUUGCAUGACAAUUGUGAAAAUACUGGUUUCCUGGAAGCAAGAGUCAGUCAAACAGUGGAACAUGAAUCACAAAGAGAGAAAAGGUUAACUUGAUGGAAAGAGAUCAUGGUUCGGUAAGCCGAUAACUUUAUCUUGUCUCGGUGAGCCGUGUGAAUUUAAUUAUGAGAGAACGUUUGUUUUUAAAUUCCUAAUUUUGGAUCAUUCUUAGACUGUUAGAUUAUUUGCAUAAGGUGGAUAUGAUCAAGGCCAUGUUUCUUUUUAUUUUAGCCACUCAGCCAAAAAGCCAACCUAUGAUGAAUUUAUCCAUUGCACCCCUGUUGAGCCAAAAGUAAUAAUGAUUUGUUUGAAUAAACCCCUGAGCCUAAUUUUGAUAUCCUUGACCUUGUUUUAGGGUUCCAAGAGAGCAUAAGGGUUUCAAGUUAUGAUAAGUCCUUAAUUUGGGGGAUUGCUAAGGGAAUUUGCCUAUAAAAAAAAACAACACAUAAUAGGGCACCCUCAGAAACUUGUAAGCCCAAAGUAUUCUUAUAAAAAAAAAGAAAAAAAAUGAUUGCAAAUAAGGGCAAUAAAGAAGUGCCAUAAGUGCUAAAGUUAAAAAAAAAAAACUUUGAAAUAAGGGCAGAAAAAGAGAGGUGUCAUAAAUGCCAAGAAGAAAAGUGUUGUUAGAGGAAUAAAGGCUAAAAAAUAAAUAAGUCUAGGUAGGAAAUAAGUGAAAGUUUUUCUAAGGAUGCAUGCUCUCUUAUAAUCCUAAGUUUUUAAAAUUCCAGAGAAAUCAUGAUUUCUUGUUUAGUCAAGCCCCUUUACAAGCCAAUAAAAAUCCUUAGUGAUCCAUCAAGUGAAAGUAAAAAUAGUUUUAACUGAGAUGAAGUGCAAAUUUGGGAAUCUUAAUUGCAGGUCGUAAAAUUUCAAAUACUUACCCCAAACACUUAUGCACAGAGAGAAACAUUGUUCUUGUGAGAAAAGUGAGACAAACUAACUUAAUUGAUUUCCGAUACUAACUAUUUCUUUAAUAUGUAGUUUAAGCCUUUUGUAAAGAAAUAUGUUAGGAAUGUAAUAGAAAUUACAGAAGGGUAUAUCAAUUAUAUUUUAAUUUUUUUUUACUUUUAAUUAAUGCCCUUAAAAAUAUUGGUUAAAUCAAAAUAAAAUAAUAAGAUAAACAGGGUUAUUAAUUAAUUAUUGGACAAGUGAAUAUCCUCAGAGUCGUUGGUCAUCCUCUAAUUGUGCAUAUUUUCAUAAAGGUACUAUUAAACAUGUGAACGCAGUUGGAGUUGUGUGCACAUGCAUGUGAAUCUCAAGGAUGAUCGAGGUAUGUCUUCACCUAUAAAAGUUGGUUAUGCUUUAUGACGUGUGUCCCACUUUGUCAAGUGGUUUAUAGUGGUGGCCACGAAAGAACUCAAAACACCACAUAAAGGCACUGCAUAAAGUGAUAAAUAUAAGUUAGAUGCAGCAGGAAUCAUAUUUGAUUUUUUACAUAUCACGAAUGCAUGCAAAUUAGCUCAUUAACAAAAUUUUACAUUGGACAAAGAAUGACCGGGAGAUAAUAUCUUUUGUCAUCCAUCCACAGACACAGUUAUGCUUCUACUCCAUUCAAACUCCUAAAUAGUUGUUGAUGCUUCUCCUCAGUGAUUUUACACGCUGAUACCGGUACCAAUUGGUUAUUCUUGUAUGUUGUUUUUCUAUCUUAUUUUAUUGUGUGUUUAGCCCCUUCGUCAAAAAAAGGAAGAAAAAAAAACAUUACAAUUUAUUUGGAUGGAGUAAUAUGCCCAAAGAGACAUGCAAAGCUAGAGGUUAAUAAAAAUGCAGCGUUUCUGUGAUGCUACCGUCAGAGUUGCGACGUUGUCAGAGGUGAAGCAAGCCAACAUUCACUGGUCCACUAUAAACCACUUGACAAAGUGGGGCACACGUCAUAAAGCAUAACCAACUUUUACAGGUGAAGACAUACCUCGAUCAUCCUUGAGAUUCACAUGCAUGUGCACAUAACUCCAACUGUGUUCACAUGUUUAAUAGUACCUUUAUGAAAAUAUGCACAAUUAGAGGAUGACCAACGACUCUGAGGAUAUUCACUUGUCCAAUAAUUAAUUAAUAACCCUGUUUAUCUUAUUAUUUUAUUUUGAUUUAAUCAAUAUUUUUAAGGGCAUUAAUUAAAAGUAAAAAAAAUAAAAUAUAAUUGAUAUACCCUUCUGUAAUUUCUAUUACAUUCCUAACAUAUUUCUUUAAUAUGUAGUCUAAGCCUUUCUUGUAAGAGAAAAAAAAUAGUUGGGAUUUUUGUUUAUGUUGCAUUAUUUAAACAUAAAACAAUUAACAUGAUUGAAUAUGGUAGAUCGGUAUUUUAUUUAAUUACUUUUAUUUUGUUAUUUGUUUGUAUAUAUAAAUUUCUAAAAUAUAUCUUAAAACUGAAAGAGGCAAUUUUUUUAUUGUCAUUAGGAUAUACAAGAAACUUCCAUUUUAUUUUAUUAUUUAGAUGAUGAAAGCACCGCAUUAUUUUAUGAAGUUAAUAGAAAAAUGUAGAUCGAAUACCUUAUUUUUGGAAUGCAUUAGAAUUAUAAAUAAUGAUGUCCAUCGUGGUUAAAGCAUUCUAAGAUUCUUAUAUAAUUAAACGUUGAAAGCAACAUUCCAAGACGUUCUUUACAAAACUAUCAUCCUCAAAGUUCAUUAUAUUACAAAAUUAUCCCACAUACAUAUUUUAAGACGAAUUUUUAAAAUGUCGGGUCGUUUUGCUGUAGUAGAAUAUAAUUUUUUUUAGUAAUGAGCUUAGGUAAAGUUAUACAACGUUGUAGAGCUCAUUGAUGUUGAUGCCGUUAAUAUUUGUUAAGUUGAAGUAGCAAUACGAGGAGAUCGAAGUAGUGGAAGAUCCGGUUGAAGAGUUUCACAGAUGUGAAACAGAGCCCGGGUGAGAACAUUGCUUGAAGAUGGUUUGGUCGAAGGCAAACUCACCCAAAAGUGACGCCAACGAGGUCCAUUAUUCUUUCAUCUUUCUUUAAAGUGUAAAAAGGGUGUUGGACCAGUUGAUGAAGGGCUUUGGGAAGCUUUUAGGGAGUGUGUGUUUGGGAAUCAAUUAUAAGGCAAUUCAAUGUGGAGGCAAGAAAAAUAAAUAAAAGGUUAAAUUAUUUAUUUGAUUUCUAUAGUUUCAUGGUUCUUAUUUUUUAAAUUCUUAUAGUUUGAGAAUGGCCUUUUUAAUCCCUAUAAUUUACAUUUUAACUUUGUUAGGUAAUUUGAAAAUUAUAGAGAUUAAAAAAGUAAAAAUAAUAAAAUUAUAGAAACUAAAAAGAUCACUUUUAAACUAUAAGGACUAAAAAGAUAAUAACUAUGAAACUAUAGAGUAAUUUAACCUAAAUAAAAAAUAAAUAAUGACUAAGGAUUUUUAGUAUCAAUAUAUUAGAAACACGUAUUUUAAAUACUUGCAUUUAAUGGUGGGAAAACCGCCAAAAAAAUGUCAACUCUAUUAAUCACUUAAGACGAAAGGCAAAAUUUGUGUAGGGGUAAAAUGUCAAAAAUAAUGUAUUUUAUGGGGAUAAAAUUUACUUUAAAAAGUAAAAAUUUGAGAUAAAAAUACCCUUAAGCUUUGAAGUCGAUAUAAUUAGGCAUAUGUAACAAUUAAAUCAAAACUUAUCAAAGAUUACUUUCUAGAUUUUAUUUUUUUUAUUAUGAUAGUUUGCUAAGAGAAAUCCCAAGUUAUUGUAUGGUAGAUCACACUAAUGUUUUUUAAAAUAGCUAUCCAGGGGCAGAGGCAGGCAGGGGAACUCACAGAAGUCAUGCCCCCUAAUUUUUUUAAAAGUGUGUAAAAAUCAUUAUAAAAAUAAUUUUAUGCCCCUUCAAAUUUAUAAAAAUUUAAAUUAUUAAAAAAUAAUAUAUAAAAUUACUAUGUUAGUUGACACAUUAGGGAGAGAAAGGGAGAAGAGAGAAAAUGGUAUGAUCAUAAUAUGAUAGAAAGAAAGAUAAAGAAAAAAUUAUAGAUUUUAGAGUGGAGUAUUUGUAAUGUUGAAAUGUCCGCAUAUAGAUUCAAAGAAUAUUUUUAUCUAUCUAAUGUAUUUUUUUCUCAUAUAUUUCCUAGAUAUAUAAAAAUCAUUAGUGUGAAAAAUCAAAUAUAUUUUUUUCUCAUAUAUUUCCUAGAUAUAUAAAAAUCAAAUAAUUAAUUUAUCAAAACUAAUAAAAAUAAUUAAGUUAAUUAAUUUUAAUUAAUAAUAUCAUAGAAUUAAAUAAUUUAAGCAAUAAGUAUAUUUAACGAUAUUUUUCGUAUUUCAAAGAAUAUUUUUCGUAAUUCCACUUUUGAUUCAGAAGACAUGUUCUGCAAUACAGUAUCCAUUUUUUCAAUACGCUUCUCCCUGUAAAACUUUUCUAUGUUGUAGCAUACUUUUCUAUACGAGAAUAACUAUUUAAAAGAUUAGAAUAUGGAAAGUAUUGACCUGUGAAGUGUUGGUAGAAUAAUCUUUUUAUACCUGUUACAAGUCUCCAGUCUUGUUUUGAAAUCUUAAUAAGGAUGAAAGCAUGCAAAUCCUUGAUGCCCUGACCAACCAUUUGAACGGGGUAAUUUUAAGCAAGAUAUAGAAUAAGUUGGCAAAGCAGAUACUGCAACUUUUAAUAAAACUUAUUUUUUGUGUGUGGACAUCUUAAUUGUUAGUUAAUUAUUAAUUAUAUUUGAAGGAAAUGUUAUUAAAACUCCUUUCGUAAAUAGUUCAUGGAACCAAUGUUAUUAAAAAAAUAUAAUUAUUAAUUAUAUUUUUCGUGUGUAGACAUGUUACAUAUUUAUUCAUUUUAUUUUUGCUAUUUUUUCAUUGUGUUUCUAAUGCGAAAAAAUUGACUCAGGAACAGGAGCUUGAUGAAGAGAAUGUUGAUUCUGAAGCUGAUGAUGAGGUAAUUGUAGUUCCAUUUUUUCUUACAAAAAGUACAGGUGAUUGACAAAUAUGAUUGGAGUAUUGAUUUUUAUGUUUUAUGGAACCUGACAAUUGCUUGAUCCAUGCUAAAUUCAUCCAAAAUUCAGUCAAUGGAUACGCAAUUUAAUAUGCAAUUAUUGGAGGCCUAGUUUAAUGUUGAGCAUGUACAACCCACUUCUGUUAAGUAUACUCAAUAAACUUAGUACUCAAUAAAUUUCAAUUAAAUUAUGAUAAGUAUAUAUCGAUAUUAACAUUUAAGGAUGAUUAAAUUUUUGUAUAGACAAUAGGCAAUAUGAGAAUGUCCCCUAGAAGAAAGAAAAGAAAAAUAAUAUUCUCUUAAAUAAAGGAUUUAGUUCCAAUAUUAGUCUCAAAAUAUUGAAUAUUAGAAAAAAGGGUUUGAUUCAUCAAAACAGUAUGAUAUAUAAAAUAUAUUUAUCAAUUAAGAACAUAAUGAUAUAUAAAAAUAUAUGAUAAAAAAAUUAACGAUCAUUAGUUGAGUUAAGAAUAAAAAAAUCUACACUUGUCUUUUGUGAGGUAAAUUUAAUUAACAAGAAAAUCAUUAUAUAAACAUGCUAAAAUUCUAAAUAUCGCUAAAUCCAAAUAUAUCAAUAACUAGAAGCACUAGACAAGUUAGUUACAGUUAGAUCUCAUCUCCUUUAAAUCUAAACAAAUAAAUCUAAUUUAUUAUAGUUUAAAAAAAACUAUAUUGUUCUAAAAAAAUCUAAUUAAACUUUUAGUCUUAAAAAAUUGUAAAUUUUAAAUUUUAUUUUCUUCUUUUUUAAUUCUUUUAAAUAUUAUAAUUUUUCAACUUUAUAUAUAUGUUGAUAUUUCAUGAGAUUAGUAUGAUCUUUCACCAAAUGGUUCAAUAGAAAACAAGAAAAAUUGAUUAUCUAUACAUUUUUUAAUCUUCAAAACUUUGGCAUGAAAAUCAUUCCUAUAAAUCAAUGGUUGGAUUCAGAAGGUAGUUGCGUUAAGCCUAAGCUCGUGAUAGUUGCAUUAGGUUUCCUUCUAUUUGACAUAGUUGAUGUACCAUUGUCUUGUCUUAUGCUCUCAUGUUUACUUUGUUGUACGGUAACUUUUAACUAUAAAUAAUUGCAUUUCCAUGAAGCAAAUUUUUAAAGUUUCUUACAACUAUAUUUACUGUUAGUGAUUCAUGAGGGAUAUAUGGGCAUUGAUAGUGGUAAUAUGGGUUUUUUAUAUUUAUGAAAAUAUUCUUUAAUAAUUGAAUAAUAAAAAUAGCUUUACCUAAAAAAACAAAAAAAAAAUGUCUUCUACAUCGAUUUUAAAACGACCGAUUUAAAACGAUAACGAUCCUAAAAACCGUCUUAGAAUGUUGAACAUUCUAUAUCGAUUUUGAGAUUAUCGAUGUAAAAUCCUAAUCGACAGUCUUUGGCGCAUGAUCCUCUUAGAAUCAUUAUCAUUCUAUAUUGAUCCUCUCAGAAUCGAUAUAAAAUGUUCAACAUUCUAAGAUGGUCGUCCACGACCAUCGUAGAAAAGGUUUCUCCUUUUUACGACAUUCGUUACGACGAUGGUUGAAAAUCGAUAUAGAAUGACUCAAAUAACCAAUAUAAAAAGUCUUUUUUAUAGUAGUGUUAAAAUGUUAUAAGUCAUGCGAAUGCAUCAUUUUUUUGUAUGCUUCCAGGGAAAAAAUACAAAAAGAGCCUACCCAAGAACAUCUCUAAAAAGGAGAGUGGUUAGGGCAGGAGAAGGAGAAUCAACUGUACGUACAAAGAGGUUGAAACUGCCUAAUACCAAAACUGGUUAAGGUGUGCGCAAUACCUCCCUAUCAAUAUGGAUAAAGGAAAUAGUCCAGUCUCUUUUGAUAAGCUCCAAAGCUGAGGACAACUUCCUGAGCUGAAAAUAUCAACCAGAAAUUCAACAUCCAUCUCGCAACAAAGAGGGUGUAAGCCUUUAUCCUAAGCAAGAGAAGGCCAUGGAUAAAAGUUAAAAUCUCAGCCUUGGUACUAUCCCCAGAACCAUCAUCAGAGAAAAAUUAAAUUUUAUUUAUUAAAUUAUGUUUUUUUUCUUGAGCCGAAUUUCUGACUCCGCUUCCCGUAGUUAUCUUUCUUUUCCUUGUACUCUAAUUUGACCACAAAAACCCACGCCAUAUCAAAUAUGUCACCACAACUAUUCACUUCAAUUCAUGGGGCUGUCUUCGUGGUAUUUCCAAGGACUUUUAGACUCCUCCUAAAUAGUUGUUGAUGCUUCUCCUCGGUGAUUUUACAAUUUAUUCAGAUGGAGUAAUCAUCUCAUCUGGGCUCCAAAGAAGCAUGCACAUAGAGAGGAUAAUAAAAAUGCAUCGCUUCUGGGAUGCCACCGUCGGAGUUGCGAGGAUGCCAAUGGUGUAUCAAGUCAAAACUCACUGGUCCACUAUAAACUACUUGACAAAGUGGGGCACUACAGAACUUGACAUAAAGCAUAACCAACUUUUAGAGGUGAAGACAAACCUCGAUGAUUAUUGAGAUUCACAAGCAUGUGCACAUAACUCCUAUUGCGUUCACAUGUUCAGUACCUUUAUGAAAAUAUGACUAAGACUUUGUUGAGAGAAUAAAAAAAAUAUUUAAGCAGUUUAUCUUAUUAUUUUGUUUUGUUUUAAGCAGUAUUUUUAAGGGCACUAAUUAAAAGUAAAAAAAAUAUUUAAAAUGCUAUUAAUAUACUCUUCUGUAAUUCCUAAUACACUCCUAACGUAUAUUUCUUUACAAAGUUCUUGCUAUUUAUUUCUUAACUGGUGCUCGAAUAAUGGUUAGUAAACCCUUUUAUUUUAUUUUACACUAAUAAAAAAACUUCUAUUUUACAAUCGUUUUACAACCUUUUUAACAAGGGAUAUUUUUAUCAGUAAUAUUUUAAUAAAGUUCUUCAUUUUUUUUAAAGGCGAAUAGCAUAUAUAUGUAUAUAUUCAUAAGAAUGUCUUACAACUUAACUGUACAAGAUGUACAAUAAAAAGUUAGUUCCCCUAAAGUUCUUCAUUUAGCUCUUGUAAUAUUACAUUGAUUAUUUUAUUUAAAUUUCUCCUUUGACAUUAACUUAUUUACUAUAAUUAUCAUACUAUUUAUUAUUUUAGUUUUUAAUUAAAAUUUUUACAAAAUAAGAAGAAUUUAAAUUAUAUUAACUAAAAAAAAACUAUAAUUAUUUUAAAAUAUUUUUUCUCCGAUGAAUAUAUAUUUAAACUUAUAUAAAUAUAUAAUUAUUUUAUAUUUAUUAGUUAUUUCAAUAAUUAAUUUUAUUAAAUGCACAUAUCUAUUUUUUGUGGUGGAAAUACAUAUAUCUAAUUUGAUAAACUAACUUGGUAGUUUUAAAAAUUUAUUUAAAAGUUAAUUUUGCAAUUUUCAAUUAACCUUUCAACUUCUAAAUAACAUCAAUUCUUUUUUCUUGAACAUGCAUGGCCGCCCAUCUAUUAUUAAUUAACGUAUUUAUACCUAAGGAUUUUUUUUUUUGACUGGAUUUAUACCUAAGGAUGUGAUGCCUUAUUUCCGAAUAAUUUAUAAGGGAUAUCCGUAUUAGACCAUUCAUUUUCACAAGAUGAAGAAUUUUUUAAUUAAUAUAUAUAUUUUUUUACUAAAAUGAUGUAGAAUGCAUGUUGCUUUCUAAUGAUGUAGGUGGUCUCUAAACCUUAAUUUAUUCCUAAUUACUAGCAACACCUACAUUUUAUAAAAAAUUCUAACUGGAUCUUCUAACUACUUUGAAUUAAGAACAGGUAUGACAUUCUCUAUCCCGACAUAUACAUAAAUAAAUAAAAUAUAUAAAUAUAUUGGUAUACAAAUUCACUUGGAUAAAAGAUUUUCAUUCAUUUCACUAUUACUAAAUAUAACUUAUUAAAAAUAUAUUCAACUCAAAAUAAGGCAGUCAAAAUCUAUAAAAUGUGUUGUUAAAUCAGUGAGGUAAAAUAAAAUAGACUAACAUCAUGCAAUUAAUAUAAAGACUUAUGCCUCAAUGUCACAUCCUAUUAGAGCAUUGUGUCUCGACGUCCUUUCAGCACAAGGUUCCUUAAAGCAAUUUACCUAGUCAUUUGUUCUCCCAAACACAAAGUUCAAGAUCAUCACAUGAUCCAAACACAAAUAGCACACAGAGAGUGAGUUAUUAUAUUUCUAAAUAAUAGAGAAGCAAGACAACUAUAUACAUAUCAUAUAAACAAAAUAAAACUUAUUUUGACAUAACUCACGUAAUUCCAUCACUUUGUCAUUCAAAAUUCAUUUUUCAAUCAUCAAUUACAUUACAUAAGAAUCACACACUUCGAUCAAGAUAUAAUAAUACAUAAAUUUCAUAAUAAACAAUUAGCAAGCGUAUGCAACAGUUAUGCUAAGACUCAAGCCUAUAUGCAAUGUGGUACCAUGUCAGUGAAAAACCACCCUGGGGCGCUUAGGAGUACAUAACAAGACACACCAUACAAUGAAUAUGUCAGGUCACUCUUACUAAGUAAAAUCAUAGGGAGACCAGUUAGGGUUACGCUGUUUUGCGAGAAUACUCGAACCAUGUGGGAUCGACACAAGCUUAAAGGAGCACUCAAAUCGGGUGACCCCCAAGACCUACACUCUGAAGAGUCCGUCAAGGCUUCUCCCUCCUGAUUCAGGUCCAACCCCUAAAAUAUUUUUUUUUUACAUGCAGACACUGCUCAUGACUUAUACAAUAUCCACGGCCUUACACUCAUGUUUUAAACACGUUUAACACAAUUGUGCUACAAUUUAACGCUGGUUCUUAAAUAGGAAACCUACACUUUCUCUUUAACACUGCGCAUCAACACUUUUCUCAAGAUAACACUGGUCAGGUUAUUGUACAAUUCAGAGCUUACAACACAAGUAAUGUCACGUCAAGUGUUAACCACACACUUAUUCACAACUAAAACUCAUUCACAAUUUCACAUCUCAUAGUGUCACAAUCCAUCAUCACAUGUUUUCACGUAUCUCACAAAUUAACACAUAUUCAACUUUGCACUUAUACUCAAUCUCAAUAAUAAUAUUAUAAUCUCAAAGCAACAUGUUAUUCCACAAUUCAUCACAUAUUCCAUUUAUAAACACUGCUCAUGAAUUAUACAAUACCCACGACCUCACACUCGUGUUUCAAACACGUUUAACACAUUGCGCUACAAUUUAACACUGAUUCCUAAAUAGGAAAUCUACAUUUUCUCUUUAACACUGCGCAUCAACACUUUUCUCAAUAUCAAUAUUGGUCGGCUUAUUGUAUAAUUCACAGCUCACAACUCAAUACACACAUCUCAAUACACAUGUACCUCAAAUCUAAUCAUAAUAGAAUAAUUUUUGGAAUCACACCAUAACAACACUACAAUAUUAUUUACAUAAAAUAUUAAUAUAAAUAAAUAUAUAGCUAAAUUUAUAUAUAUAUAACCAACAACAUACAUCAUAUUGGAUCAUGAAUUUCAAAGUAAGCUUUCAAUGUAUCAAUUCUAAAUAAUUAUAUGAACACUUUCCUAUAUAUAUAAGUAUACAUGAAUUCAUAUAUAUUAUCUAAGAAUACAACAGACAAUCUAUUAGAAAUCUUUGGUCAAUUUCAAAUAUAAUAUUAAUUUUAAACUAUAAAAAAAACCAAAAAAUCAUGAAAAGGAGAAAAUACAAAAUCAAUGUCUCACUCCCUCUUACGCUAAAUCUCUACUUAUUUAAUCUCAUCAAUUCACGCUAAUUAGACAAAGGUUCAAUUUAUAGGGUUCACACUCAAUAAAAGAACACAUCAAUUUCAUAGCAAUUUCUCAUUAGGACAUCAACUGGUUCAUCAAACGUAUAUAAUUCACACUUAUAAUUAUAAGGAUAGAAUCAACAAUUGCAAAAACACCUCAAAACUCAUUCCAAUUGAUACUCUAAGGAUCCCUACACAUGUUCUCACUAAUCCCUAAUUGUGAAUAACUCAUCCAUUACCUCUAAGCGGACUCACAUGUCUUCCGGUAGAGAUAGCGGCAUCUUUAGCAAGUUCCUAAGAUUUCUCAAUUUUUUCCUCUGAUUGCUCUGAUAUGGUUCUCAAACGUCAAAGAGAAGAAGAGAUUGAAGUCUCCAUUUUAUACUGUCUUCGUGUGAUUCUUUUUUCUCUCUCCAUAGUUAUUAUUUCGCAAAUCACAACGGUGAAGGUGUUAGAAAUUGAAUCCCAAACCACAUAUUAAAAUUUUAUGACAAUCCAACGGUUAACAAAUCCAGGAUUAUAGUUUUACGAGACAGUUUUGUGUUUUUGCGGAAAAAGAAAAGGUUACAAUGCGAAGUGUAUUUCUCUUAGCUCUGAUAUGAUUUCGAAAUUCCCAACGCUGAAGAGGCUCAGAAUUGAGUUGCAAACCUGAUGCUUAAAUUUCACGACGAUCCAACGGUGAAUAAGUCUGAGAUCGUCGGUUUUAUAAGAUAGAUUUGGUGGUGUGCGAGAAAAAGAGACGGUUUUGAGAGAAGAAUAGAAAAAAAUGAAAAUAAGGGAAAUAGGAGACAUAAUGGAUUUAAAAAUUGACCUAACAUAUCGUUAUUUAUACCUAGGAUAUUCACAACUUAUUAUUUAUUCUAUUUAUUUAUUUUUAUUAUUUUAUAUAAAAGAACUUUAUUUUAUUUACUAUCAAAUGAAUAAAUCAAAUAUAUAUAUAUAUAUAUAUAUAUAUAUAUAUAUAUAUCAAAGCAUUAUUUUAUUACAACUAUUAUUUAUUUAUUUAUUUAUACUAAAAAAACACAUUUUAAUUUAUUUAUGAAAAAUGAGAUGUUACGCGACAAAUUAUCCCCUCUAAUAUUUCUCUCCAAAUGCUCGAUAUAAUUUAUAAUUAAUUUGGCCCCCAUGUCUUAAACAUAUUUUUACCAUGUAGAAAAUUAGCUCUAGCCCUUUUAUUUUUUCCUUUAUACGAGUCAUGAGUUUGAGGAGUAGAAGUUAGAAUCAAACAAUCCAUUAUUACAUUAAGAGAGGAUACAUAGUUACAGGCUUCAAUAAAUAUAAUAUAUAAAGAGCAGAAAAGCAUACAUAUAAACGAAAACAUGCCCAAUAAUCGAGACAUAGCACAACAACAACAGUGGAGAGAAGAAACAAAAGCAUUAGAACACAUAAAUAGCUUGGCCGACGCGAUCAACAGCCCCUGUUGGUUAUGUCACAGUGUCUCUUUUUACCAUCAGCUUGGGGCAGACAGCUGCCAUAUCGGUCUAUUCGCACACAUUUGAUGGCGGGGUUAUUAGGAUCAGGUGUACCUCCUGUAUUUUGGCCUGCAAGGAGGAUUCUGCGGAAGUGGGAGCUGGAGAUGGUGGGAAGCUGCGAGUCCAAGUGGUCGACGUUUAGGCAGUCCUCCACGGAGCCAUCGCACAGAGAAAUUGUGCCAUUGGACUUGGACAGAGCUGCAAUGGUGAUAUGUGUUUGAAGCGAAAUGACCAUAAGCCACAUGAGGAAAAAGGUUGAUGCUUGCUUCUUCAUGUCCGCUACUCUGCUUCUCACUGCCACAAAAUCUAGAGAGAUAUUAUCACAAAUAAUGGACACUGAUUUAGCGUCGGCAGUGGCUAUUUAUGUACCUCAUUAAGACAUGUACUAUGUCCAUCUUUUUUUAUUCUUUAUUUUUAAAUAAAUAUAAAUUUUGAUAUUUUGUAAUAAUUUUCAGGUUUAAAUAUAUUUGUGAUAUAGGAAAGUUAGUGUUUUGUUUCAUUUUUAAGAUACGUAAGUUCAUUUUCCAAAUUUUAAUCAUGGUGAGUUUGUGACUUUUUAAUUUUGAUUCUUGCAAGAUAUUUUACUCAUUUUUAAUUUCUAUAAUUUAUAUAUAUUUUUUUAAAGUUUAGUCCCUAUAAAUGCAUACUUAUGGGGAUGGUAAAUAAAAAAAAAUCUUAUAAAAACUAAUUUUUUUAAAAAAAUAUAAACUUAUAGGGACCAAAAAUAAGUCAAUUAUAUAUCUUACAUGACCAAAAUUAGAAAAACAUCAACUUACAUAAAUAAAAAACGGGAAAAUACUAAUAUAUAGGGAAAAAAACAUAUAUAAGUCUAGUUUUAAAAGAGUGUUUCAUGAAAAAAAAUUUAUGCCCAAUAAGUUCCCUAAUUGUAUAGUAAGUUUGUACACUUUCUAUAUGAUAUUCUUUGAGAAAUUCUCUUUUAUAGUAACUUUGUACAAAAAAAAAAUUUACUACGGAGAAAAAAAAGAGACAGAAAAAUAUGGAAUAAGAUAAAUGAGAGAAAAAAUGAGUGGUAAAAAUUGUGCAAGAAUAAUAUAACUCAUUUUGUUUGUGAAAGAAUAUGUAUUAUUUUGAGGUAAAAAUUUGACCAAGUUUAUAUACACUUUUUUAUUUAUUAAAACAGAUACUUAAAUGAUGUUCAGUAUAUCUAGUAAUUAAUUUUUUUGGUUCAAUGCUAAUCGAUCGCUAUACUUGAUAACAAUAAAAUUUGAGUUAAUUUGAUAGUUAAUUUUGAUUAAUAAUGAUAGUAAUUUUUUCACUUUAUUAUUAUUUUUAAUGAAAUAAUGAAAAAAUUAAUAUCUUUAUAAUUUUUAUUAGAAGAAGUGUUUUAGAGAAAAAUUGAUAAAAAAAUUGAAAGAAAAAACCAUGAAGAAAGGUUGGAAGAAAUGGACAAUCACAAUACAGGCUUAACACACACUCUUGCUCAGCGUGCAAGUUCACACCCUUAUCACGAAGAAGGACUAAACAAUGAAGUAUGAAGAACAAAGUCCUUGACAACGACGCCAAACACUUGUUACUUGUUAACUCAUUAGCAAGGGUAGCAAUGUGUCUUAAAUAGUAAAAUACUCAAAAGUUCAAGUGUUGACUCUAUACGGAUUUUGUUUAUACUUAGAUUGAUGCAAACUCAACUUUCAGGGAAUUUAAAAUAAAAAAUAAGAUAAAUAUUUAAAUUAAAAGAUGAUAAAGAUAAAAAAAAUAAAAAAUAAAAUAGAUAAGAAAUUUUAAUAUAAAAGAUAAGAAAAAUAAAAGACAAAGAUGAUGAAAAAAAAAGAUAAAUUCAAAAUGUAAAUAUGUUGAACCCUAACAUGUUAAAAUUACCUGUGAUAUAAUGUUAAUGAUUGCAAUUUUCCUCUAGAGCACUUAAAUUUUCUUCUUUUGACUUCUCCUUAUAAAAAAUUAUAAAGAUGUUAAUUCCUUUAUUAUUUCAUUAAAAUUAAUAAUAAAAUAAAAAAAUUACAAUCAUUAUUAAUAAAAAUAAACUAUUAAUUUAAUUUAAAUUUCACCUUCUUUUUGUUUUCUAUUGCAAUUUCUGAAAUUUUUUUCUAGAAUUUUCCAAUUUCUGAAUUCUUUUUCAUCACUCAUUAAUGUUACAUACCCUACUUGAGUACAAGUUCGUGUUCCAAUUUAAUUGGUGAAACCAACUUGUUUUAUUGAUAACGUUUUUGUAUACUGUGUAUUACAUUUAUUAGCUAUGUGAUCUUAUUGUGCUACAGGGUGCGAAUUGUGUUUUGUAUGUUAUAGCCUUACAGGGUAGGGUAUAUCUUGUAAGUACUCUUUCGUUAAUAAUAUUUUGCGUUAAAAAAACAAUUUAUUAAAUCACGUAAAUGAAUAUUUAUUAAAAAACAAUAAAAUACUAAAAAAACACUAUAUACUAAAUUUAAAAUACAAGUAAUUUAAUACAAAUAAAAAUAUUCACAAUGACGCGCUAUACUUUAACUAGUCACUAAUCAGUGAUCAAAUUAUUCCAACAUAAAUGCUUACAGCUAAGCCCUGGGUUGACAUCCCACUUGUCCAGUUCAAGCAGGGUUAUCAAGGUUAGACAAGAUCACACAACUCUUAUGUUCCUUCUCUACCUAAGAAUCUAUAAAUUAGAAAUCUAUAAAUUAAAAACACUAUUUGGCACCUCAGUCAUUCAUGAUUAACAGCUAUGAAUUGGAUCAAAACAAUCCUAAAAUUUAGGUAAAAAGGUAAAAUCUUAGCUAUAAAAGAUACACCUUCAAACGUUGUUGAAAAAUAUACGGUGCCAUUAUAGUAAUUUUGACAAAAUAUACAACUAAGGUCAUUUUAAUAACCGCCUUGAAUAGUAACUCUAAGAAGUACUAAGACGGGUCCCGCUUUGCCCGUAGUAGUUGUAUUUGUAAUACAAAGACGGUCUUUUCAUUUUGACCCUCUUUGAAUAAGUUUUUCUCUUCCUUUUAAAAUCCAACUCCUCAGCUCCCCGUAGAUUAUUUCUCUCUCUAAAAUCACAAAUUACAAAAUCCCUUCCAUUCUCUCUCUACCGCGCCUCCUAUCCUCCUCAUCUCCAACCCCCAAACCACCGCGAGAACCACCAGUGCAGGCAGCGACGCCAUCGAGACUCCAACGAACAACCUGGCCUUCCGCGAUCAUCACCCUCCGCGGUUCUCCCUUGAACCCUCUUCAGGCCCCAACAAUGCCGCCGCCAAGCGACGCACCUCCUCUGCGAAGCGCGUGUUCUUCGUGUCCGCUACGGUGGCGUCGAAGGUGUCCGCCCCGCAGCGGAAGAAGGACCCAAAGAAGCACGUGAUUAUCACGGGAUGGGGCUCGCGUCAGUGUUCGGGAACGACGUGGAGGGAUACUAUGAGAAGCUUCUCGCCGGCCAGAGUAGCAUCAUCGCUCCUGCGCGCAGGUGCAGGCCACCAGGAUCUCAGAUCUAUUCUCUCUUUCCACAUUUCCUUCUUAUUUUGUUAGUUUACAUUUCUGUGAGACAAUCCUUUUUGAGGCACCGUGAGAGCGUGGGUUUGGUUGAUUAACUUUCGUAAUUGUUUGAUUCAUUGUAAACCUUUUUUUAUUUCUUCAGUUUUGAGGCCAUUGGCUAAUGACUACCUUCAGGAGCAUAAUUUGUUCCUCCUUCAUCAAAUGUUAAAACCUUUUUUUAUUUCUUCUGUUUUGUCAUAUUCUUUCUAUGGGACAAGAUAUUAGCAUAGGGAUAGUAGAAUACUUGAAUCAAUGUAUAGUUAGUGUAUAUGGUUCUGUUUUCCUCUGUAAUGAAUUAUUCGCAAAACUUUUAGAUUCAUCUUUAUUGGGAGGAAAUAUAUAUAUGUAUACACAUAGUGACAAUUUUGCCUUCUCAUGUUCAACUUCUAGUUUUGUCUGUACAAUCAAGUUUUACAUAAACAUAGUCUUCAUUGAAAUAUUACCUUUUGUGCCUUUCGAACUUGUAUGGUUUCACAAUAUGAUAUGUGGUAUGAAAUUUAUCAUUCACCGAUUUGAACAAAACUAUUUUGUUGCAAUUUUAUGGGAUGAUGAUCUUUCCUCCAUGACUGGUAACACAAAACUUGAUUUUGUCUAAGUUUGAAUUCGUAACUUUCGUGCAGUAGUUUUUUUCUUUAAGCAUGGCUCUUUAACAAUUAAUAUUUUUAGAAGUUCAUUUAACUUUUAUAUCUGAAAAAUAAAUUAUUUUUGUUGUAACUAACACCUGUUCAGUUAUUUAUGGCAUAACUUUUGCGAUUGAUUGUUGUGUUUAAUUCUGUUCUUUAUUUUCUGAGCAAGCAAAAACAAAUAUAGUUUCUUUUUAAUCUGUGUUUCUUUUUCUUCAUAGUGAUUUAAACUCUUUUAAUUAUGAAAUCUUUCUUACAUAAUUUCUAUUAGGAAAUCAUGAUUGUCCCAAUUGGAGCAAGCAAAUUUGAGGAAGCAUUGCGAAUGGGCACCGAGACCUAUCAUCACUUAAAGGUGGUUUUGUUUUAUGGGGUCAAUUACAUGGAACCACUGCACCACAAAUUUUUGUAAAAUUCUUCACCGUUAAAUGAAUAAUAUAAAAAGGGUAAAAAUUAGAAAGGAAAGAAAAAUAAAUGUGAUGAAAAGAAUUUCAUUUGUAUUUUGCCUCUUAAUCUUACCUGCACUUUCUUUUAGUCAACAUUUUGAACUGCUGCAUAGCCUGCGUGUUAUAAUUACCAUGUUUUCUUCUACAUGGUAAAUGCAUGUUAUGAAUUAUGAUUACAUCUGUUUAUUAAGAUUAAUAAAACCAACUAGUGUCCUAUGCGCAUGAAUAUUUUUAAAUUCAGGUGAAAUAUAAAACUAGAAUCUAAGAUGUAUAGAUUAAAAUAGAAAAAAAUUAAAGUUAUAAGCAUGAUAUGAAGAAUUAAUUCCAAAGAAUAUGUUUUGUAAAUGAAAAAGAAGAGAGAGUAAUUUGUAAAUACUUUUAGAGUGAGUGUGUUUGGAUGGAAAAAUUUAAAAUUCUGAAAAAUUUUAAAUUUUAAGAAUUUCAAAUACUUCAAUUGAAAUUCUUUUAUUUUUAAAAUUUUGUGUUUGGAUAAAAAAAUUAAAAUUAUGAGAAUGAAAAAAAAAAAGAUAUGGUUGGUGGGCUAGUUAUACAUGUUUCUUUAUGCUCACAUUCUAUCGAUAUUUUAGGAGGCUCAGACGGUAUUUGUUGAAGAAGACGGAGAAUUUCAAUUUCUCACCUUUUAGAAGGAAAUUGAAAUUCCAGAUUUUUAAUUGUUUAAAAUUCUGUUUUAAAAUUCUAAAAUUUUAAAUUCUUCAUAAAAAACAUCUAAACAAUGAAUUCUAAAUUACAGAAAUUCAAAUUCUCUGAUAAAUUACUUUUCUAAAUUAAAAUUCUCUAUCCAAAUUACAGAGUGUGUUUGGAUGGAGGAAUUUAAAAUUUUAAAAAUUUUUAAAUUCUAAGAAUUUCAAAUACUUCAAUUGAAAUUCUUUUAUUUUCAAAAUUUUGUGUUUGGAUAAAAAAAAGUUAAAAUUACGAGGGUGACAAAAAUGAAUGAAAAAAAGAAAAGAUAUAAUUGGUGUGCUAGUUAUAUGUAUUCUUCUAUGUUCUCAGGUCCGAUCGAUGUUUCACAACUUGAGACGGUGUUUCUUGAAGAAGACGAUAAGAAGAGAAUUUCAAUUUCCCAGCUUUUAGAAGGAAAUUGAAAUUCCAGAUUUUUAGUUAUUUAAAAUUCUGUUUUAAAAUUCUAAAAUUUUAAAUUCUUCACAAAAAACAUCCAAACAAUGAAUUCUUGAUUCUGAAAUUCAAAUUCUCUCAUAAAUUACUUUGCUCAGUUAAAAUUCUCUAUCCAAACAUACUCUUAGUGUUUUUCGAAUCUUGAAUAAUGCUCUCAUGAGCAUGCUAUGAGAUCCAACUCACUUAGAAUUUUCAAUACCAAAAGAAAUAUGCAUGGCAUGUUUACGAGAGCAAACCCAUCGCAAGUCAUGCAUAUAUAACAGCUAAAUGAAACUAGAAGUUUCUAAAAUCUCUGGGAAUUUUUUGCUGUGAAGUCUCAGUCCUCAUUAUAUAUGAAGGUUGUUUAUUAAUAAUAUGAUCUUUUAAAAGUUUUGUUUGGUUUAUAUAUUUGUUCGAGAAGAAUUGAAGUACGGGCAAACUUUGAUGUGUCUUAAAUAGGAAAAAUAUUAAACAAUAAACACACACAUUGACACACAUACACUAAAUCUAUAAAAGUAUUUCACCUUCCAUAUAAUAUAGUUAAGCUAACGGGGAACUAGUUUAGUUACUUAGUUGGUUUUCCGUUCUUAUAAAGUUUAAGUCACCUUGAGUUUGAUUCAGAACAAUCUAAUGAUAAGUGACAUGAUAGAUAGAAAAAUAGGUGAUAGAAUAAAGGUGGUCAAAUGUUACAUUUAACACUUCUGCUGCACAACUGUAAAAUUAUAGGUGAAACUCUGGCCUGCUUGAAUUGGACAUUCUGUAAUCAAGGAUGGCCCAUCAUACCAGCAUGAUAGCCUUUGCCGGACACCAUGCCUGAAAUGUAAAAUUCAAGUUUGUUAGCUAUAAUAAUAUUGUUAACAGGGUGAACUAUUUAUGUAUGAGGUUGUCAUUGGGAUUACCAGUGAAUUGUAACAUUGAAAGGUGUCAUAUUGGUCACUUUUACUAUGAUUCUAUCAUAGUAACAUUGAAAGGUAUCAUAUUGGUAAACAACUGGUCCUGGAAACAUACCAUUAAUUGUGACAAUGUCUUUGGAGCUGCAAAUUUUGGUUACAAAUCAUACCAUUGGCUGAGAAUAGAGGUCACACAUGCCUCUAAACGUGCUCUAUUUUAAAUCCCACCACAAUCAGCCUCCACCCAUUCCAUUUUUUGUUGUGAUAUUUUUUGUUUUGGAUGCUGGGAAAUGCUCCUGACGUUUUCAAAUUCAACUCCGAACAUGGUCAUGACUUCUAAAUUGUGUUUAAUUUUUGCAGGUUGAAGCUGAUAUUGUGAAAAGAGCUCUUAGUUACCCUUUGAAAUUAAUUGCUAAGAAUGCUCGUGUCAAUGAUAGUGUUGUCAGUGAGAAGGUAUUAAGGUUUGGUCUGUGUAGAAUUUCUCUUUUCUCUACGAGUGUGGUUGUGAUGAUGUGAUUUGUGUUGUAAUUAGGUAUUGUCCAGUGACAAUCCAGGAUAUGGAUAUAAUGCUGCCACUGGUAAAUAUGAAGAUCUGAUGUCUGCUGGGAUCAUUGAUCCAACAAAGGUGAUUUUCUGUUUGAGCAUCAAUAGUUUUUAAUUUUCUUCCAUGUGAUUGCCAAACAAUCUGAAUAAUUAAACUUUAGGUUUUGUUUAAUAUGAUGGCAUAUUUAUAUUGAAUUUCAUGUUUGGGAUGUCAACAUCAUAAGAAAUGGUUACUUGUGAAUUCAAAAUUUAUACCUGGGAUGCCUAUGUCUCAGAAGAGUGUAAUUCAUCUCAGAGAAUGAUAAAGCAGGAUCUGGUUUGAUGCUGUACAUUGUGAUUGAUAUUGGUUUCUUAAUGUUAGGUGAGAGCAACUGUUGCAGAGCUUCAAAAUGUUGUUCGUGUAUUUAGUCAGUUGUGUGCUGCUUCCAACCUACAUAUUCACGGGUUUCAUCAAAAGAAUGUUGGAUACUGCAAUUCGAUAAUCAUAUUGGCAUCCAUUUCAGCUCCACCUGCACAUAAAGGUCAUUUUAGGUUCAUGCUUAAUUAUCUACACUUUCUGUUCAACAUUUACAUACAUAGAUAAUAUAGAUACUAUUAUUGCAUAUUUUAUAAUUAUAUUUGUUGAUUAUUACUAAUAUAGAUAAUAUUGUAAUUAUAAAUACAACUUUUCAUAUUAUAUAGUUAUAUUUAUUAAUUAUUAGUAACAUAUAUAAUAUUGUAAUCAUAAAUAUUGAUUUUAAUAUUAUAUAAUAAUAUUUAUUGAGUAUUAGCAAUAUUGAUAAUAAUGUAAAUAUAAAUAUUGAUUAUUAAUUAACCUAAAAUUUAAUUAUAGGUUAUUCAACAUUUAAUAUUGGUGCGGUCGUAAGCACCGAUGUUAAAACAUGCAUUUCUACAUCGAUGGUCAACAUAGCACAUAGCAUUGAUGUAAAAAAUUCAACAUUCAACAACGGGCAUGCAUUAGCAACGUUGUCGUUGGCACAUUUUCUAAGUCGUUGAUGACGUUAGCAACAUAGUCAAUAAAUGUUUUUCAAAGACAAUGAUUUGGUUAACACCGAUGUAAAAAAGAGUGUGUUUUCUACAUUUGUCAAUAUAAGAUCGAUCUCGAGACAUUUAACUAUCAACGACGUUAUAUUCUACCUCGGUUAACCAUUGAUGUAGAAUGUUGUUUUCGACCGAUGUAAAAGCCUUGUUUUUUGGUAGUGGUGAGGGUUGUUUUGAGACUCUAAUAUGAAUUGUUGAACUCGUAUGUGCGUGUAAUUUGGUGGAGCCGUUAUUAGAAGUUGUACUAUAGGAUAAGGAAAAAAAAAAUACUUAUUUAAAUUUGUACAACUAAGUGUAGUUAAUUAAUUUUCGGGAAUUGAUUUUUUUUUCUUAUAUUUAAGAUUGAAUGGAGUAUAUAUUUAUUUGUUAUAAUUUCAAAUUAUAAUUUGUAAGAUGUAUGAAAUUUGGAUUUCAAAACCACGAAUCAUACCUGAAUAUAUGGAAUGGCUAGUGAAAUUUCUAGAUUUUUCUGAUAAAAUGUCAUCAUAUCGUGUAAAAUAUAUAACGAAUCACACAAGGGACACACUUGGCCUGAUCAAGAAGCAGUUUGCACGAAAGCAUCAUAGAACUAUAAGACAUGUAAUUAACCUGAGCAAAAGAAUCACUCAGUGAAAACUACAAGAGUGGGGUGUUCUACAUAUGUCAUAAAAACCUGCUAUAACUUCUGUAGGAACAGGCACUUAUCUUACUGAAAAUAAAAGAAUGUUAUAAUAAGCAUAAAAGAAGUUUGGAAAAUAGUGUCUAUAACUGUAUUCAUGCAGGCCAAGGCUGAAAGUUUGAACUGAUGAGCCGAAGUUGUUAUGCAUUUAUGUGUUUGAAUCUUAUACUGGAUUGUAACAAAAAGAAAGUCCAUAGUUGCAGUCCUGUACUUUCAGAUAAUUUACCCGAAAAGAAUAGCGCUAUUGAACAAGAAAAAUUGAUGUCGGGAAUAUAUUUUAUUUUAUACAUUUUUAUAAAAGAAUAAACUCAUUAAAGCAAAGAUAACAUACAAGUAAAUUGGAUGAUAAGGGAUCUUCCAAACAGAGAAAGAGUUAAAAAAUAAAGAACCAAAAUCAACCAAAACGUUUCUGUCUUUAUCUUUCAUGCAUAAUCACAAACAUAUCACCUAACUUAACCAAAAUCCAUGUAAACUCAAAGUAAAUAAAUUUAGAAACGUAUAAUUAUGUUCAGGCAAAACAUACAAGCCGUCAAUAAAAUCAAAAUCGAAAGAAUAAUAAUAAUAAAAAAAGUGGGCAGCGAGCAACUGAGAGAAAAAGAGAAAACCUACCAACGAAAGAGAUGGGAGUUUCACGCGACUUUCAAAGUGUUUCCUUAGUCCCUACUCGAGAAAGUGCGCAACGCGAGAGUGGCAACGUGACAGGCACACAACGACGCAGUGGGUAAGGGAGUAAGGGUUCGAGGGUUUAGGCACGAUGGGCAAGGGAGUAAGGUAGCAAAGUGAGAGCUUGAAGAGGGUCGUUUAGGCACCAAAUUAAGAUUUUUAAAUUAUAAUAAAACACCCAACAUUGAUUUUUAAAAAUUAAUGUUAACUAUUUGAGAAAUUGAAGUUAAUAUUAUACUAAGAACAUCACUUUUAAAAAAAUUCAUGUUAUUAAUAACAUCGAUUUUUUCAGAAAAUUAAUGUUAAACAUGAUUUUCAGUAAACCGAUAUUAAGAAUAUUUUUUUUAUUUAUGAAAAUGUUUCUAGAGUAAUUUAAUAUUGAUUUUUCUUGUAAUAUUCAAUGUUAAUUUGGUUAUAUUGAAUAUAUAUUUUGUAGUAGUGUAUGAAUAGUUCCGUGAUAUUCGUGUGGAAGCCUUUCGAACUAGAUAGGGGAACUCUUCAAAUAAUUAAGUACACGAUAGUAUUCAUAAAUAAUUAUUAGACCAACUUUAUUUUAGAAUCUUCAAAAUUAAUACACACUUCUAAACAUUUUCUGCGUUUUUUCACAAAUUUAAACCACUCCAAGAUUUUUACAAAAUGUCUCCACAUAAUUUCAGAUUCAUAUAAUUUCAAACUAUUUAUAGCAUUCCUACCAUUUUCCUUAAACACCAAACUCAGCCCGAACUUGAAUACUACUGCUCCUUAUCGUCCCUUUGGAUCCUUAAUCUCAGAGAAAACAUUCUCCCGGAUCAACCUGUCAGAUUCCUUACUCCCAUAGCUUGAGGUGUUCAAUCCAGUGCUGUUACUAUAAUCCGAAAGUUGUAUACUACUAUGGGUACUGCUAAACAUGUCCUCACUAUCUUCACAAUCCCCACCACUCACCAACAAAGGCACCACUCCAUUAACAGCACUAUCCUGAAGCUGCAGAACAAACUCCAACAUCCCAACAAUGUCGUUCAUGGAGGGUCUCUGAGUCCCAUCCUCAAGCAAACAGCUCAACGCAACCUCACCAAAUUUGCGCAAACACUCAGCUGCUAUCUGGCCCUUCAGUGAGGGAUCCACAAUCUCACCAAGAAAGCCCUUCUCGUAGUGAUGCUUUGCCCAAUCCACCAGUGACAUCUUUUGCUUCUCCGCCGUACGGAUCAAGGGUUGCCUCCCACACAAUACCUCCAAGAGCACCACCCCAAAGGAGUAUACGUCAGACUUCUCCGUUAAACGCUGUCGUUUGUAAUACUCCGGGUCUAAAUAUCCAAUGCUACCUUUCACCAGAGUGCUCACAUGGGUCAUUGAAGAACCAGUGGGCCCAAUUCUGGAUAACCCGAAGUCUGAAACCUUGGCCACCCAUUUUUCAUCCAAUAAGAUGUUGGUGCUCUUCACGUCACGGUGAAUGAUCAUGUGCUUCGCACCUGUAUGCAGAUAAUGCAGUCCACGUGCAGCACCUAAGCAGAUCUGCAGCCUUUGCUUCCACGACAAGGACGAGUUAUCAGAGUCAUAGAGAUGAUCACUAAGGGUUCCGCGAUCCAUGAAAUCGUAAACCAGUAUCAUCUCGUCACUCUCGUAGCAGUAACCGAUGAGGGAAACAAGAUGAAGAUGACGAAGCUGAGACAACAUUUCGAUCUCGUUCAUGAACUCCUGUACACCUUGCUGAGAACCCGGUUUGAGUCUUUUGAUUGCAACAGGUGUUGAACCGUCAUCGAUGUAGCCUUUGUACACGUUGCCAAAGCCUCCCACGCCCACCACGAAGAGUUCGUCGAAGUUAUUGGUGGCGGCUCUGAUUUCCGCGAUUGAGAAGUGGCGGCAGAGGUUGGUUGGCAGCGAUGAUGAACCACCGCCGCGAGAGGUUCCGUAGUUUUGCUUGGAACCCUUGUGGACGGAAGCGUUCUUCUUGCGCUUGACGAGGAAGGAAGCGACAAUAAAGGAGAGCAAAAUGACACCGGAAACUGCACCUGCGACGGCGGCAAGGGUUCUUGUGGUGCCGCUGCUUUUCUUUUUUGAGUUUUCAAGGGAACCAUUGUGGUCAGGGGCUUGUAGAGGAGGG
rnacentral:lncRNA from 1 species